UGAUCGGAAAAUUCAUAGCACUGUAUUUUCUCAACCUGUCACACAAUGCUCUCAGUGGAAAAAUCCCACCAUCUCUAGGAAACCUGCAACAGCUGGAAUCCCUGGACCUCUCAAGUAAUAACCUGAGUGGCAGUAUUCCUCAACAGCUUUUGAAACUAACUUUCCUUGCAGUCCUUAAUCUCUCAUACAAUCAACUGGAGGGAUGCAUACCAGCUGGAAAGCAAUUUGCAACAUUUACUAAUGAUUCUUAUGAAGGUAACAGGGGACUAUAUGGGAAUCCAUUGACGCAGCAGUGCAAAGAUGCCAUUCCCAACCACGGGCAAGAUUCAAAUCCCAGGACUGGUAACCAUAUCAACUGGAAUUUGAUAAGUGUUGAGAUAGGGGUUUUCUUUGGUCUAGGAGUUGUCAUUUUACCUCUUACGUUCUGGAAGGGAUGGAGGAUAUGGUAUUUUAAGCGCAUUGAUCGUCUUCUUUUCAAGUUUUUCCCUAAGCUGGAUCGCAGAAACAGAAAUCAUAGAACGAUAUCUCAGUGGAUCCAAGGAAGGAGGCUAUAGCAAUAAUAAAAAGGAGCGUCGUAGGAUGUUGGUCUGGAAACAAAGCCAUCAUUUCUACAGUUUUAGGCAACACUCAGCUUGUUGAACAUUGCUGUUGGUGUAUAAGUUUUCUUUCAGAUUGCUGAACAAUAGCUCUUUUGAAGCUUUCUCUUAGAUUGCUCUAGAAUUGCAACGUUAAGUGACUUUUAAGUUGAUGCCUUGUGCUUAGAUGUUAGCUUUGGAUUUUGUUUUUCAAGGUGAUUUGUUUAAGUGUUGAUCUUUGUUAAUGUGGUUGUCACUUAUGCUUUGUGCUCUCUGUUUUGUACUCCUUAAAUAAUUAUGUUAUUGGCCAAGAAAAGAAAAGAAAUAAAACUUGUCCAGGAUAAUACUCUUUUGCAUGAAAAUAAUUCAAAAUACCUCCUUGAAUAAGUCCUGCAAUCUUUUUCAAGAUUUGGGACUUUGCGGACUUUUAAUCACACCAACAAAUUUAACAAGAAAAAAAAAAACCACAAGUUAACAGUUUGGGUUAAAUUUUAAAAUCUAAAGAAUAGAAGGUAUAAACUUAUGACAUAUUUUAACCUCCCAAAUAACAUGUUUCUCUCAGCAAAAGGUAGAUUCAUGAUAAAGAUUUUUCCUCAGCUUGAAGGAAAAAAGAUGAGAUGCAAGAAGGGCUAAAGAAUUUAGAAAGGAAACUAUUGCAAAGGUGAAGCAAUUGUCCUUGAGAGCAUUUGCUUGACUGGUUUUACGUGCAUUAAUGAGAAGAAAAGCAAAUCCAGGAAAGCAUAGUAAGAAAGACCGCAAAAUCAAAAAUAUUGGCAUUGUUAGUGACAAAAUGUCUAUGGAAUUAACUCAGGGUUCUGCCUAGACAUGGAAAAGCCAGCAAUAUUCGAACCAGCCUCGUAAUAGAGAUAUAAAAGCCAGCAAUUUGCUUCAGCAUGAGCAUGGUUUCCUCUAAUCAUCCAAGUCUUGAAGAAUAUAUUGAAACAUUUGGUGCUAUGAUCAUUGAUACUUCAUAUCCAAUUCAACACUUGCUUUCAUAUCAAGAGUUUUAAACCUCAUCUUCCUUAAUACUGUAAAACGAAUGGGGAACUGUAUGUGGUUUUGUUUACCUUGCAAUAUGCAGACUAAUAGAGUCAAACACAAGUCUUGGUUGACCAUUAAUUCUCAGAAGGGAAGGGAUUUGUUGGAAGACUAUGGAACUUUACCAACAUGCUGCUGCUGAAACUUAUUGGUCUGCUUGUAUUCCGAUAGCUGGCAUAAUCCCAUCAAAUUAAUAUUUAGAAUGGAAUUAGAAAUUCCAAUUAAACUAUGGUUGAAUUUUGUGUAACCAUAUUUAAUAUUUAAGAUGAGAAAGUCAGCAAUGGAGCUAUUGUUUGUAAUGGUAUUUGCCAAAGGCAGAAGCUGGUUUAAAAUAAAGAGCAAAUGGGUCCAAGAAUGAAAAAGAGCUGUUUGAAUGCAAAUACCUGGAAAAGCUUCCAUUUCCCCCUCUUUAAUGUUCAAAGUUCAAACAUUUCCAUGUCUUAUUCUUACAUGUAAUUUUUAGUCUUUUAACGUAAUAACUAAAUUCAUUUUAAUAUUUCAAUUUCAUUGGCCCGCUUUAGUACUUAAAUUGACAAUUAGAUUUAUUUUUAUCAACUUAAAAUAUGUAAAAACUUAAUAAUGUGACAUAAUCUCAAAGUGUCAAGUUAAAUCUAAGUUAAUGAAUUUAAACGAACUUAUUUAUUAAAUUUUAAGUACAAAAGUAAUCGGAAAAAAAACAAAUAUUGAAGUGGUUGAUUUAUGUUUGAAAAUUUCACCCAUGUAAAACAGUUAAGAGUUUGAAUGUUUAACCCACAAAAGCCAAGAAACAGUACAAAAGUACAAAGAAAAUGAAUUGAGGGACAGCUUAAUUUCAUGCACUCGUAACUGGUUCCAAACUGAAGCUUAGCAUAAAUAUGGGGAUGGUAUGGUUUGCAUUCAUUAAUACCAAUCAAGUCUUUGGUUUGAUUUUUCCAAGUUCGCUGAAACUUCCAACAUAACAGCUUUGAGCCAACGUCUUCAUGAAAAUAACACUAAAGAAAAUCUAAUAGAAAAACACGUCUUAUGCAGAAGAAAAGUCCACAACGAACAAUAAUAUACACAAAGAACGUAGCUUUAUCAUUAAGGAAAUUACACAUUCAGAUAUUACUCGAUUCAAACACCAAUAGUUCGCAAAGAAAGAAGCAAAGCAACUUCUUGUAAGAUGGACCUCAAAGACUGACCGGUCACUACUCACUAGUCAGGCCUUUCAGGGGAAAAGAGAGAUUUGAUUGAUCUGCUCAAAAUUGUCUUCCAUUGUCCUCACACAAAUGAGGACUUCAGCACUGGUUUCAUGGCUCUUCUUCUAUUCAUAUGUUGCAACUGUUUUCCGCAUUAAGGCUGUUUCAGUUUCUGGUCAAUGUCAAAGCGAUCAGCAAGAGUUGCUGCUCGGAUUGAAAAAUAGCCUCAAUUCUUCAUCGUCUGAGAAGUUGUUGAAGUGGAAUCAAAGCACGGAUUGCUGUUCUUGGGAUGGUAUAACCUGCAAUGCAGAUGGUCAGGUUAUUGGACUUGACUUGAGCAAAGAAUUGAUUUCGGGAGCAAUUGAUAAGUCAAAUAGUCUUUUCCGUCUUCGGCAUCUUCAGCGACUUAAUUUGGCUUAUAACAGCUUCAAAUCCAAGUUUCCUUCAGGGUUUGAAAAUUUGGCAAAUUUGAGGUAUCUUAAUUUGUCAAAUGCAGGCUUCACUGGGCAAAUUCCGGUUGAGAUUUCAUACAUGACAAAGUUGGUUACUCUCGAUUUGUCAAAAUCAUGGCUUCUUGAUCUUGGAUCACUGAAACUCAAGAAGCCAAAUUUAGUUAUGCUUGUUCAGAACCUCACACGGCUACAGAAUCUCUAUCUUGACGGAAUAAAUAUAUCAGCAGACAGAAAUAAGUGGAGCCAGGCUUUAUCAUCUUCACUGCCUAAUCUGCAAGUGUUGAGCAUGAGCGGCUGUCAUCUUUCAGGACCUAUUAAUCCUUCCCUUGCCAAGCUUAUGUAAUAGCUCGAUUUUAGGCCUAGUUAGAACAGUGGUUUUGGGGCCACAAAUCCGACGAGAAAAAAAAAUGUAAUGGCCUGAAUUUUUAAAGGUGUCGGAACGGUGAUUCGAGAUCACUAAAUUCGACAAAUAGGUAGAAAAUAUUAUUAAUUUAGUAAGUAUAAGUUAAAUGUGAAGUUAGGAAAAUUUCUGAAAUAGUGAAUAGUGCACUAGAAAUAAAUAUUAAAAUAAUUAGAAUCAAAAUGAGGUAUCAAGACCUCGGGGAUUUUAAACUGAGCCAUAAAUAUUUUUAAAGUUCCGAUAAUUAAUUGAACAAAAAGGACUAAAUUGUAACAAAUGCAAAAUUUUGAGAAAUGAUUAAAUAGCUUAAAUGAUAAAAGGAAGAGGGGUUAAAAGGAAAAUAUACCCAAGGUCUAUUUGGGCUGGACGGCAAAGGCAUGAAAUCAGUAAGAAAGUAAGAAGAAUUAAGGGCAAAAUUGGAAUAUUACAAAAUUUGCUUAAUAAAGUUAGGACCAAAGAGGAAUUAUCUAGAUUUCUCUUCAUUUUUCUGAAUUCUCAUCAGCUAAAACACCAUGGAAGGGCUUCUUCAAGCUGGUUCUUCAUAUUUUUAUUACAAGUAAGUUCAAUUCUUGACUAUUUCUUGAAAUUUUUGUAUUUUUAUGACUUUUACAACUAGACCCACUUGUUAAAUUCAUUAGUUUUUGAUUUUAUUAAAGAAUUUGAAAGUUGAUAUGAAUAUGUUCUGGAAUUAUAUGAUGAUUUAUCAUUAAAUUAGAGUUUUAAAUUGUUCAUAUGCUGAUUUUAUUGAAAGAAUUGAAUAGAAAGUGAAUGUUUGGGACCUAAUAGUAAAAGAGUUUGAAGAUAGAGUUAUAUGUGGAAAUUAUGAAUUUCAAUAGUUGUGUAACAACUUAUAAUGUCUAGGUAAAGUAUUAAUUGAGAAAACUAGAUUAAUUGAUGGGUUAAUUGAGAAAGGACCGAAUUGUAUAAACUGUGAAAUUUGGGGCAAAAUGGAAAUCAAUAUUUUGCACUAAAGCAGUUUUGGACAGCAGCAGUAGUGUAACUUUGAAAAAUCACCAAAAAUUGUAUAGAUUGAAUUAGAGGAUGAAUAAAAUAUGAAACUAAAUCUUAUUGAGUCUAGUUUCUUAUAAAAUAAACGAUGUAAGCAAUGGAUUUGUAAAUCAUGAGAUAUAAUAGAUUUUGUGAGACAAUGUCAGAAUGAAUUUGGGUUCCCCUGUUCUGACUUUGGAAAAUCAUUAAAAAUAGUAAAAAAAUGAUUAUGAGUUAUAGUUUAUAUGGUUAUAAUCCUUAAUGAGUCUAUUUUUAGAAGAAACAAACAAAAACAUCAUCCGAAUUCUGUACAAUGAGAUAAUUAAUUUUUAGUGAAGAGUGGUUGGAACUGUCAGACAGCGAAACAGGGGAAACUUUAAAGAAUAAAAUGUACUAUUUGGCUGAACCAAAAAUUCUGAAAAUUUUAUGGUAUAAAGAUAUGUGAGUCUAGUUUCAGGGAAAAUUAACGGAUCUUAAUUUGGUGCUCUGUAGCUCCAGAUAAAAAUAAUUUAGUGACUCUGACUCGGAUAAACAGUUUUGAAUAUACAUGUGAGUGAAUAGUGAAAUUAUAGCUAAUGUUGUUUAAGUGUGUUAUACACAUCAAGGAUGUGGAAUGGAGAGGAGGAGGAGGAAAAUUGGAAAAUAUAUGAAUGAUUUGUGUAUAAUUGGUCAUAUACUUGAUUUUAAUUGAUAAACGAUGAAAUAGAAAUGAUGCUUAUAUUUGUGCAUUAUUGGUCAUGGUUUAAGCUCAUGUGUGAAAAUAAAAGUUUCAUAGUAUGUGUGUAUGGUAUAUUUGGUAUAUGAUUUGGCAUGAAAUAGUGUCAUGAAUGGUUUAUGAAUUAACACAUGUUGGUAAGCCUGAUACAUGAAUAAAUGUUGUGCUCAUCCAUGCUUAUAAUGCUUAUGCUAUACGUGUAUUUGGCUAACAUAUUUGGUGUAUAUGCNNNNNNNNNNNNNNNNNNNNNNNNNNNNNNNNNNNNNNNNNNNNNNNNNNNNNNNNNNNNNNNNNNNNNNNNNNNNNNNNNNNNNNNNNNNNNNNNNNNNAUAAGUUAUGCAUUGAAAUGGUUUAUCGUGUGGUUAGUUCCAAAAAGAGUUAUGUUUAAAUACACUAGCUUGCAACUAUGGUUGAAUGAUAUGCUUAUAUCUUGUGUGAUGUGCAUAGAAACAAGUGUGGAAAGAUAAUGAAAUAAUAAGUUCAUAUGGUUGAAAUUUAAUGAUUAAAUGUUAAUUUCAUGAAUUAUAUAAUGUAUGAUGAAAUGUAUUCAUUUUUGAAAUGAGAAUAAAAUAAAAAUAAAAUGAUCAAAUUAAGCGGAACGUCGGAUUUGAGUACUUCUGAUCAAGAGAUAAAGUGAUAAGUGGUAGCUUUAGCUACACUUAUCUGAUCAAGUGAAAAAGUGAUAAGUGAUAUAUUUAUCUGAUCAAGUGAAAAAGUGAUAAGUGCUAUACUUAUCUGAUCAAGUGACAAAGUGAUAAGUGUUAGCCUUAGCUACACUUAUCUAAUCAAGUGAGAAAGUGAUAAGUGGUAGCCUUAGCUACACUUAUCUGAUCAAGUGACAAGUGGUAAGUGAUCAUACGUAAGACCAUAGUUAUACUAUGGCAAAGUGAAAGUGAAGUACUCAAUUUUCCGUAACCGUUCCCUAAUUUGAUUAAGGAUGGUAAGUGACAAAUGGGCCCAAAAGAAUUAAAGUAAAUGGAUAAGUGGUAGUGUAUUUAUAUCAGACGAUGUUGUUAUUCAAGCUAAAGUGAUAUUUUCAUUGCAAAAUUGAGAAUUUCAUAAAUGUGUUAUUGAAUGGUAUAAUCAAUAAACAUUGAGUUAAAUGGUAAAUACGUAUUGGUGUUGAACUUGAUGUAAUUGAAUUGUACGUGAAUUAAAUGGAAAUUGCUAGUGAUAUGAUCUAAAUCGUGAGCAUGAGAAAUUACGAAUUGAAGGAAAUGGAAAUGAAGCAUUGAAUUGCAUGAGUAUGUAUCGGUUCUCGUAAGCCCUAAUUAUUAUGAUUAUAACAUUUUGAGGAUAUACUGUGAAAAGUUAUAGGAGCAUGUUAAUUAUUUUGAAAGUUUUAAUUUAGAUGAAAUUUUAUAACUCGGUUAAAUAUGUUUACAAGUGCAUGUGUUUUGGUAAUGCCUCUUACCCUAUUCCGGUAUUGAAUACGGGUAAGGGGUGUUACAGCUUAAGUCUCUCUCAAUUAUUCGUUUAGACAGUAACAAUUUGUUUGGUCCAUUCCCAAAAUUCUUUGCAGAAUUUCAAAAUUUGACUUCCUUGCAUCUUGGUGGGAAUAACUUGAGUGGAAGUGUACCAAAAGAAAUCCUCCAGGCACCGAAGUUGCAGACUCUUGAUUUGUCUUUCAACAAACUGCUCCAAGGUUCUUUUCUAUGGUUUCCUCCAAAUGCAUCUCUUCAGUCACUGCUAGUUGGUGACACAAAUUUUGGGGGGUGGUUACCAGAAUCUAUCAGCAACCUCGGGCAAUUGACAAGAAUAGAGUUGACGAAUUGCAAGUUCAACGGGCCACUACCUAAAACACUGGAGAAACUUACACAGCUAGUCUAUCUAGAUUUUUCCUCCAAUAAUUUGAAGGGCCUAUACCCGAAGCCAUAGGGGAUUUCAGAGCAUUAUACUUGCUUAACUUGUCAAAUAAUGCUCUCACGGGCACAGUCCCGUCAUUUUUAGGAAACUUGCCCAAGCUAGAGGCCUUAGACCUUUCAAGCAACCACCUAAUUGGGCAGAUUCCUCCGCAGCUAGCAAACUUAAAUUUCUUAUCAUUCCUAAAUCUCUCCAACAAUGAAUUGAUAGGAAAGAUCCCAUUAGGUACUCAAAUUCAGUCAUUUCCAGAAGCUUCGUUUGAAAACAAUGCAGGAUUAUGCGGGCCUCCUUUGAAGGCACCAUGCGAAUCCCCUCCAGUAACAAAAGUCGGCCCUCCAAAUCCCAGGACUGGUAACCAUAUCAAUUGGAAUUUGAUAAGUGUUGAGAUAGGAUUUGUCUUUGGUCUAGGAGCUGUCAUUGUACCUCUUAUGUUUUGGAAGAGAUGGAGGAUAUGGUAUUCCAAGCGCAUUGAUCGUGUUCUUUUCAAGUUUUUCCCUAAGCUGGACCACAGAAACAGAAAUCACAGGACAAUAGCUCAAUGGAUCCAAGGAAGAAGGCUAUAGUAAUAAUAAAGAGCAUCGCAGGAUGUGGGUUUGGACAAAUAAGAAGCGGGUUCACUCAGCUGGCUGAAACCCUUGUAUGACUGCACCAUGCACUAUAUAAGAAGGUUCAUCAGAAUCAGUAAACUUGUAUGCAUGAAAAUAAAGAGGGAAACUCUCCCUAAUUGUUCCUGUAGCUGUUGUGUUUUGAUUCCUCGUAAUCUUUGGAUGUACUUCAGUCUCGUUUGUAACCAUUUACCUCUUUAAAUAGAAGUAUCUAUCAAUGAAGUCAGAUAUAAGAUCAGCUAAUAUGAAACUUUUUUUUAUAAAUUACCUUGGCUUUCAUGGUGAUAAGUUGACAGAAAACUUGAUGCCUCCCUUCUCCUUGGUUACUCGAUGAACCCAAGCCGAAUGCAGAGGCGGAGGCCACUUCAUUAAAUGGCCGGCAAAGAUUUAACCGUCUACAGUUUACACCGGUAUAUGACCCGACCCAGAUUUCAACAGUGAUGGAUUAAUUGGACUUGGGCGAUAAGAACAUAUACAAUGCUAAAAUUACAAUUUUGAUUCUCUCAAAUUUUAUUAUUAUUCAAUUUUGACCUAUCCACUAAUGGCAGAUUUACAGCUUAACCGUAAAAAUUUUAAGUUGAUACAAUAAUAAAAUUAUAUUUUAAUCUUUUUAAAAAAUUAUAAUUUAAUUCUUGAUUUCCAAAAAAAAAAGUUAUGGCUUCCCCCCUCUAACUAUAAGUUAUGAAUUGCUGAUCAUCAUAUUAAAUGCAUUUCCAUUUUCCAACUAAACUUCCAUUUCUCAACACUUGAAUUUCUUUCUCCUUUAUACUACAAUAACACUUGCAAUAUUUUAGUUAUGAAUUGCUGAACAUCAUAUCAUAUGCCUUUAGAUCGAAUUGAAUCGAAUUGAGUGAAAAUUUUUUAAGUUAAUCGAGUUGAUAAGUCCUGUUUUAUCAUACUAAUUCGAUUUGAAAUUUUCCGAAUCAAGUCGAGUGAAAUAAAAUUUGAGUCGAGUCGGAUCAAGUGAAGUUAUUCGAGUUAAAUUAAAAAAUUAAACAUGUCAAAUUAAAUUCUUCUUAAAGUUUAACUAAUUCCAUGUUAAAGCAUAUAAAUUUCAAACCAUAUUUCAAAGUAAAAUAAUAAAAUAAUAAAAAUAUAUUUUAGUAUGAUAAACUUGAAUGAUUAAUCAAACUAUUUAGUUCCCAAAAUUAUUAUUUUAGGAAAUUUUUAAACCUUUAACUUUAUAUUUUUUUAUUUUUUAUUUUUUAAAAUAUAAAAUUUGAAAUUUUAAUAAAAUAUUUUAAAAUUUGAAAAUUAUUUUGAAUUUUUGAAAAUUAUUUUGAAUUAUUUUGUAAUUUUUGUUGAGACAAACCAAUUUGCUCAUUUUCAAAAUUGACAAGGACUAAAGAGGUAUUUACACCAAUAUGUUAUUCGAAUUAUUUAAGUUAUUUGAAUUGUAAAAUUCAACCCUCAAAUUUGAAACUCAAAUUACUUAUUUGAUUUAACUCAAAUAACUCAAUGCAAUUAACUUAAAAUUUGAAUUUUUUUUUCAAAUCGAAUCUCACCCCUACAUUUACGUUCAAAGUUCCAAGUUUAAACUUGUAAGUUUGGUUUGAUUUUAUAUUCGAGUUUAUCGAACUGUUAUUUUCUUUUCAUUGCUUAUGGGCAAUGGUAAUUAUUACUCCCCUUAGGGUGAGUGUUCGAUCAAAUUGAGUCAAAUCGAGUAAAAAAAUUCGAGUUGGUGAGUAUUAUUUUAUCAAACUUUUUUUGAAUCAAGUCGAAUCGAAUCGAGUGACAUUGUUCGAGUUAACUUAAAAAAUUAAACAUGUCAAAUUGAAAUAUUUUUAUAGUAUAACUAAUUACAUGUUAAAACACAUAAAUUUGAAACCAUAUAUAUUUGAAAACUUUUUCAAAGCAAAAUAAAAAAAAAUACUUAUGAUAAAUUUGAAAUAAUUAAUUAACUUAUUUAGGUCCAAAAAUUAUUAUUUUAGAAAAUUUUAGAAAAUUUAACUUUCUUUAUAUAUUCUUUAGAGUUUUUUUAAAUUUUUUAUAAAUAUUUUGAAUUUUAAAAAUUAUUUUGAAUCUUUUUUGUAAUUUUUGUUGAGAGAGACUAAUUUGCCCAUUUUCAAAAUUUUCAGGGACCAAAGAGGUAUUUAAUUCAAUUUUUUAUUCGAAUUAUUCGAAUUGUAAAGUCCAACUCAACUUGAACUCGAAGCUUGAAUUACUUAUUUGAGUUGACUCGAAUAACUCGAUUCGGUUAAUUCAAAAUUUAAUUUUUUUCGAAUCGAAUCAAGUUUUACUCACCCACAAUUUCCCUAUUACACUCUACUAAGUUCUAUAUAGAAAAUCAUUCAUGAUCGAUCCUUAAUGGGCGUCGAAACCACCAAAAAUAAUUCCUACAAUAAAAUAACUCUAAACAGUAGCAAAGAGUGGUAGUAGGGUCGAGUCCACAAGGAUUGGUACUAUAAUAAACUUUCCAUUUAACUUAUGACCAGAAUUUUUGUCGUGUCGAAAGUCAUGGCAAAAGUCGUGCCCACAACUCCAAACGGACCUACAAAAAAAUAAACAAAUAAAUCAGGGGAGUUUUGAAAAUGUUUAGAAACUAAAUAACUGAAACAACAUAAAUAAAUAAUUAAAUAAAUUAGAAAUUAAAUUGGAAAUUAAAUUCAGAUUUUGUGAUCAAAGAUAAUAAGCCUUAGCCCUAAACUCGGUGGAUUCUAGAUUUUUGAAUCGAUCCUUGAAAAUUAAUUUUCUCCUCAAAACAAUAAGCUGAUUAUAGCAGUUAAGAACGUCCUAACCACCAAUUCUUCCUCUCGUAGCUGGUCCCAGUACGACCUGCAAACCAACCCUUACCGAUUAUCUAACCGAGAUACACGUGUUCCCGAUUCAAGAUUUUGGCAACCUUGCGCUCUGAAGAACCCAACUCGAAUUAGCAGCCUCAAUCGCGUGGGUUGUUUAAACUCGAUCACUUCUUCAUUGAUUUGUUCUAGGAGAUCCGAAUACAGCACGACCGACUCGUUCCUCCAACAUCAGCAAACACGACUUCAACCCAACAUGCACUUUUUGACUUGAAAUCAACUUAACUUUAAGGGAUGAGUUGUCAAUCUCGAUACUUACGAAAAAUGUGAAUACCGAUUGGAAGGAUUUUUGGUAUGGAUACGUAUCUCACGAUUCCCGACCGAAAAGAACACCAGCCUAAAGUUAAGAUGGAAUUUAGUAGAGCAUGAAUUUAGUCGUGCUUUGUAGGUUUAUGAAUGGUGAUUUGAUGAUAAUGGAGGAAAUUGGGAAAGAAAAUGACUUGAAAGGCAAUUAAACGAAUUUUGAAAGAACAAAGAAAUGAAAAUGGAAGCAUCAGAAUGCUCAUACCCAAAUUGGAAGAAAAAGAAUAAUUUCUCUUAAAUUCCAAAUGAAAAUCAAAGAUGUAAAAUUAAAUGUGUUUUUCCUAAAUGCAUUAAAACCUUAUUUAUAUACAUGUUAUUUACUAAUUUUGGAUUUAACCACUUCAACAUAUAAUUAAAAAUAAAUAAAAAUUAUGUAACACCCUUAACCCGAAUCUGUCGCCAAAACAAGGUUACGGAGCAUUACCGAAAUUUACAAAUUAAUUUUUAGACAUUUUAUUUCAUCUAGCAUUCAUAUUUGAAACCAACCAAAAUCAAAAUAUUAAUUAGGUAACGUUGACCAAUUUAACUUAUACAUGCCAUUCAAUGCAUUAUUCCCCUAACAUGUACAAUCUUACCAAUUCACUUGCAUAUACAUUUUCACACUUAACCUUUAUCACAUAUGUUCAUUCUUUUCAAAUGUACCUGCAUGCACACUUCAUUUCAUAUUCACUUUAGCUCGUUAUUAACCCCGUUGAACACUCGAAAUAUACACGGAUACGUAGAGAAUUAGCACAUAAGUGCCACACUGAUAUGUAGUCGAAGCUACCACUGAUAUGUAGCUGUAGCUACCAUUGAAAUGUAGCCGAAGCUACCACUGAAAUAUAGUCGAAGCUACCACUGAUAUGUAGCCGUAGCUACCACUGGAAUGUAGCCGAAGCUACCACUGGAAUGUAGCCGAAGCUACCACUGAUCAAUAACACUGGAAAUGUCCAUGGGCCUGCUCACACAAGCUGUCAGGUGUCUGCAACACAUGCUAGAUCACCCAGCACCCGAGACUCACUGUAAUACUGUAACACUGGUCUCUAGUAACAUGUUACUUGUAUCCACUUCUAUUCCUAGGUUCAACUGGGAAUUUACACUUAACACUUUAUUUUCAACACUUUAUCACUUGAAUAAUUCAUGAACAAUUUUCCUUCCACAUUCAAUAUUGAUUCACAUAUCAAAUAAAAUUCACAAUUUAUAAAAAUAUAUUGCUAUUAUUUACACGUAACUUACGAGGCUAAAUUGCAGAAAUAUCAAAAUUUAGGGAUAUUUUGGUAAUUUUUCAUUUUUCUCGAAUUUCCACCCAAAUCUUGAUCUAAAUUAAUAUUUCAUUCAAUUUAUUAAUUUAAAUGAUAAAACAAUUCAUUUCAUGCAAUUUGGUCAUUUUUGAAAUUUUUACAAAAUUACCCUUAAAAUUUUACUUUUAUUCAAUUUAAUCCCUGAACCUAAAAAAUGCAAAUUAGCUAUUUUAAAAUAAACUCAUAUUAGUUGAAUAUUCACAUAUAUUAUUUUUCCUCCUCCUCCACUCCAUUCCACAUCCUUGAUAUAUAUAUAUAUUACCACUAUUGAAUCAUAGUCAUUAAAUUAAUUAUAUCUUAAGCUACAAAACUUUGAAUUGAGAUCCGUAAAUUUUAUCUGAAACUAGACUCACAUAUCUUCUUUAAAGUCAUCCCUGUUCUGCUGUCUGACAGUUUCGACCCUUAUUCACUAAAAAUUAAUUAUCUCCUUGUACAGGAUUUGGAUGAUGUUCUCGUUUGUUCCUUUUGAAAAUAGACUUAUUAAGUAUUCUAAGAAUAUAAAUUAUAACUCAUAAUAAUUUUUUAACAAUUUUUAAUUAUUUUCCAAAGUCAGAACAGGGGAACCCAAAUUCAUUCUGACCUUGUCUCAUAAAAUUUAUUAUAUCUCAUAAUUUACAAUUCCAUUGAUUACACUGUUUAUUCUAUAAGAAACUAGACUCAAUAAGAUUUAAUUCCAUAUUUUUUUCAUCCUCUAAUUCAAUUUCCACGAUUUAUGGUGAUUUUUCAAACUUAACCUACUGUUACUGUCUAAAACUAUUAUAGUGCAAAAUGUUGAUUACUAAAUUUAUAACACCCUUAUUCCCUUUCUCUAUAGUAUUUCCCAUCACUUUCUCUUAUUUUUCUUCACUAACAUAUCAAGAACAUAGAACCUUAUAUAAUAAAACCCUACAUUAGCAUCAAUUCCAUACUUUUUCAAUAAUAUCAAACUAAAAAAUAUAUUGAAAUCUUGAUGUUCUUACCUUGCUCUAUUGAUUUCAAUCUUUAACUUGAUUUUCUCUCUCCUCCAGCCUCUAUUUCUUGAAUCUAACUUGAUAUUCUAGUUCCCCAUAGUCUCCUUAUCAAUUUCCUCUCUUGGUGGUUAUGGAAAUUUCUUUGAAUUCUAAGUGAAAAUGGUGAAUUUUUGGUGGGAGGACCAAAUUGUAAAGAAAACAAAACUUUUUUUUCUUUCUCUCUUCUUCUCAUGUUGAUGCAUGGAAAAAUAGUGGGAUGGUGGCUUCCAUAUUUCUUUGGACAUAUAUAUAUACUGAAUAAAAUAAUAAAAUAUCAUUAAUAAAAUCAAAUCAAAAUAUAAUAAACUAAUAUUUAUUUAUUUAAUCUAAAAUAUCACCAACAUCAUCAUCAUUUUCUAGAUUUCUCUCUCUUCUAAUUGACCAUUUUGCCCUUUAGAUCUUUUAAAAUUUCAUCAUUGAGUCAUCACUUAAUUUGGUAAAAUUAUGAUUUAGUUCCUCAUAAUUCUUCAUCUAUUCAAUUUGAUCCCAAUUCAUCCAUUUUCCUGAGUUUCUAGAUUAUUCCACCCUUAAAAUAUUUACACUAUUAAUCCUUCAACUUUUUUAUAUUUACGUUUUAGCCCCUCAAAUUUUGAGUAUUUACUAUUGGGUAACAAAACUUUUCUCACUUUUGCAAUUUAAGCCUUUCUUGAAUUAAUAUGUCAUAAUAUACUUCCCAAUGUUGUCAUAACUCAAAAUUCUCUUUUUUGUCACUUUAUUUCCUUACUAUAUCAAAAAUAAUAUCUUAUUGUAAAAAUUUUCGGGGUAUUACAAAUUAAAACUAGAUUUUUUUUUCUAUUUUUGGCUUUUACAAAGUCAAAAGAAUCUGAUAAGUCCUUGGCCUUUUCCACAUUUUUUAUUCGGCCUCACUUUAUUGAUUGUGUUUCAAUUUGGUCCUUUUCCGCUCGUUUUUUACUCUUAGCGUCCCAGUUGCAUCUCUGACAAGAUUAAAACAUAAAAAAACUAAUUCAGCAGGGAUCAAUUCAAAAAUUAACCGAAUUUAACAGAAAAAGUCUAGCAAAUUAACAUGUUAUCAAUCCUAAUAUAACUUUUUGGUCAAAUUCUACUAUUAGUCCUUAUACUAUGCAUAAAAUUCAGAUUUGGUCCUUAUUAUCACAUGUGUAACCUAGUGUCAACUUGUUAUUUUCACAUAAUACUCACAAAAAACAUUGCCAUUAUAGUUAAUAAGAUUUAGCGGCUAAUGUUAGAGUCAAGAUUCAAAUUUCAAAAUUAAAAAAACAAAUAAACGAGCUAAAUUUAACCAAUUUAAAAAAUAUAAAAAUUAAAAUUGAUCAAAUUAAAUACAAAGAUCAAAUCCACAAUUUAUACAUUCGAGAGAUUAAUAAUAAAAUUUAACCUUACUUUUUCAUUCCGUAAUCUAUUUGUUUCGAUGAAAGACUAAAGAAAUGCAAAAAUGCAUCUCAUUAAAGAAAAGUAAUACAAUGUUAUUGUACAGCCCAAAUUUUGCCCGGGCCCAAAACCCAUUACCAGCCCAACAAAUACAAACCCAACAGACCCAAGUUACCAGCCCAAAUCUAAAACCUAUCACACCCAAAAAAAUAAAACCCUAAAGGCCCAACAGGCCCAAACACCUAAAACAUUUUAAAAAAAAACCCUAGCCACCUAACCACUAGCCGCCGCACCUAGCCCCUAACAGCCCUGCCACCGCCAACUGCUCUGCUGCCGCCGCACCAACUCUUUCUGCCACCACCAUGCCUGCUUCAACCACUCAUCUGUAGGGAAAUAACAACAAAUAUAGAAAAUUAUUGUAAAAAUGGCUAUAAAGCCAUUCAAACCAAUGUAAAAAGGGGGUUUUUUGGAAACAAGAACAGAUUCAAAAACGCAAAGAGAUCCAUUCCUAAAGGGAUUUCAGUUUCUAUUACUUUGUUCUCUACUUUUUUGAUACACAAAUAACUAAAAAGAAUAGAUCUGAAAAGCGGACAUUUCAAGGUGAUUUUCAUUUGUUUUUUUUUCAUACUCAUCUAAUCUUAUUCUUAUUUUUUUAUUUCUUUUUUCCGAAGAAUAGUUUAUUAGCAUAAAAUAUAAAAAAAUAAAAAAAUUUAACUUUUUUACUUUUCCGGCCACCGCGUGCGGUAGCCGGCUCGGCCGACGUGUCGGCCCUGUUCGCCGAUUUCUGGGACCUGGCCGGAUGCUUGAGAGAAAAAAAGGAAGGUUUUUGAGUUUUUUUUUCUAAAGAACGGCAGCAAAUGAGUUUUUUGAGAAAAAAAUUAAUUUAAAUAGGGGUGCAAAACGGCGUCGUUUUGAGCUAGGGUUAACAGGCUCCAAAACGACGCCGUUUAGCUCCUGACCCGAGUACCCGACCCGCUCCGCCAAGGAUCCGCGUGUUUUCUAAGAAGGGGUAUUUCCGUUCGCGGUCCUUCCGAUUUUGCAAAUUUUCGCAAUUUGGUCCCUUUUCCUUCUUUUCUUUUAUUUUAAUUUAGCCGCAUAAUUUUAUUUUUGUUUCAUUUUAGUCCUGCUUAAAGUGAUGUGUUUUGGAAGCGGGGUAUUUACUGUUUUUGUCCCUCCCCUUUUGGCGCGUGUUGCAAUUUAAUCCUUUUUAUUUUGUAUUCGCCCAGUAUUUUCAUUUUUAUUUCGAUUUAGUCCGUGUUUUAGCACUUUUAUCAUUUAGUUAAUUAUUUUAAUGUUAUUAUUAUUAUUGUUAUCAUUAUUAUUAUUAUUAUUACUAUUAUUAUAUUAAUAUAAUUACUUCUAUAUGUAUAUACCCACAUGUACAUAUUUAAUAUUUACAUGCAUAUAUAUGCUUUUUUAUAUUUUAUAAUUUAUAUACAUGUAUGUAUUUAUAUUUGCAUUUUAAAUUUUUUGUAUAUACAUGCUUACAUGUAUCUCUUUUAUUUUAAAAAUCUAUAUUUUCUUAUGUAUUUUCUAUAGUUUAUAAUUCAAGUGUAUAUAUGUUUUUUUAUAUAUUUUCCAAUGCAUACAUUCACAUAUAUAUAUAUAUAUAUAUAUUUCAUUUUCAUAAAUAUACGUACAUAUACUUACCUACUCUUUAUACUUUUAAAAUAUAUAUUUUGUAUAUUCUUAUUAUUUUAUGAUUCCUACAUAAUAUAUAUAUAUAUAUAUAUAUAUAUAUAUAUAUAUAUAUAUAUACUCUCCAUAUUUUAUGAUAGCUACAUAUGUAUAUGCAAAUGCUUAUAUUUUUAUAUUUUAUAAUUCAUAUAUGUAUAUCUUUUAUUUAUUUUCUUCAUUUAUUUAUUUAUUUACAUAUCCGUUAUUAUUAUUUGUUAUGCUUUAGAAUUUUUAUUUAUUUAUUUAUUUGUUAUGGUAUAUACAUGAUUGAUUUGUUUUUUUAUUAUUCGUUUUUUGCUCAUAUUAUUUUUGCUCACAUUGUCAUAUUUAUUAUUCCAUUUGGUAUAUUAAUACGAUACUUCAAAAAAGGAAAGUUUUUCUAAAUGAGGCAAUAUUUAGGGUUUGAAAAUUCGAGAAAACGUGCCCUAAUGUGCUGGGUUUUGAUUUUUCUCGUUCAACCAAAUAGCUAAAUAUCCUUUUAAAAAAUUCAAAAUAAGGCAAUGUUUUGCGUUUGGAAAUUCGAGAAAACGUGCCCUAAGGUGCUGGGUUUCGAUUUUUCUCGUUCAACCAAAUAGCUAAAUAUCCUUUCAGAAAUUUCAAAAUAAGGCAAUGUUUUGCGUUUGAAAAUUCGAGGAACGUGCCCUAAUGUGCUGGGUUUCGGUUUCUCGUUUAACCAAUUAGCCAAUUAUCCUCUUGAAUUUUAAUCCAUGUCAUCCGAGUUUUUUUUACGGAUCGUAUUUUAAAUCUCUCUAAAGUUUUCAGUUUUUCGACACUAAGACAUUAAGUAAUCAACUAGGUACCAAUUUUGAGCGUAUCGAGGGUGCUAAUCCUUCCUCGUGCGUAACCGACUCCCGAACCCAUUUUUUUUAUUUCGUGGACCAAAAUCGUUGUUUUAAGAAAAUUAAAUCAUUUAUUAAAAACAACUACUUUUCGAGGUGAUCCAAUCACACCUCAUUAAAAAGGAUUGGUGGCGACUCUCGUUUCAUUUUUCAAAAUCCAAGUCGUGUCAACACUUAUAUUACUUAAAAAUAUUCAAAAUAAAUUAUUCUUUAUGAAUAAAUAAGUAAACUAAGUGCCAAGCCCAUUGAGUUAAGCCUAUUUGUGGGGUUUUAUAUGUUAUUUGUCAAAAAAAAAAAUGAGCACUUAAGUUUGAUAUUUCUAAUGCAACACAAAAUUAUACCAAUUAUUUAACAACUUUAGACAUAAAAACCACAAUGAAAAUGUGUCACGUCUCAAACCUCUAUUAUAUAAUUAUUUUCCAUACAUAUAUAAAAUUUUAUAAAACCAAUUUUAUUGUGUAUGGUCCCCUCCAAUCAUCCAAGUCUUGAAGAAUAUAUUGAGACAUAUUUUUUGAUUUUGGAGCACAAUUCUUGGUCUACAUACAAGUAUCAUAUACUUGUUUGUGAGCUGGUUAUUGGACCAGAUUCAAAGGUCCGUUCAAAAUUUAAGAAGAUUUGAAUAAAAAAAUUAAACUCAUUUAAAAUAUGAGUUGGGCUCGGGCUUGAACAUUCAAGGCUUAAGCUUGACUCAGCCCGACUCAUUUUUAAGUUUAUAAUACUUUAUAUAAUUUAGAAUACAUUAAAAGAAUAAUCUUAUAUUAAAUAUAUAAUACCACUCUACUGUGAAUAUUAAAAUAAUGUUAAGAUGGCUAUAUAAAAAUUUCAAUAAAUAAAAAAUAUAAAAAUAUUAAAUAUUAAAAUAAAAUAAAAUAAUUUUUUAAAAUGAUGAAAGAGAGCAACUUUUGGACCAAGAAAAACUAAAGAAGAAACCCUGGCAAGAUUUCACAGUAUGUUCACCAAUAGGACAAUAAAUAGGGUCAGACCAGCUUAGACUCAAACACCGGUCUUGGUUAAGCAUUUGUUCUCACGGGACACGUGGAGAAAUUUACAAAAAAGAAAAGUCAAUAUUCUUAGAGGAACUUUACCAAUUGAGUCUCAGCUUGUUUCUGGGAUUUGGUUUGGUGCUAAUGGUCUUUUCUUAAUUUAACUAAGCUGGUUUACAGCAUUAAAAGUCAUUUGCUAUUCAAAUAAAAUUCAAACUAACGUAGCAUUGUUGUCCGAGGAACGCGGAUUUGAAUGUUGCGUGCUACGUCGUCUAAUGCUUAUAACCUCUGUCAAAGUUUUCAAACAUUUCUCACUUUGGACAGACAAUGUCAAAUUGUACCGUUGAUUAGUCAUUUCCACUUCCUUUACCGUAUUUUGAUUCUUUGCUUGCAUGAAUAUUACCAUGUCUAAUUCUGCUUUAAUCUUUUUUUUUUAUAUUUUUCUACUUUGAAUCAUAAAAAUUUAGUUUCUCUACUUUUUUGGUUAUAUGGCAUUUUUAAAAUUAAAAAAACAGUCACAUAACCAAUUUAAAACUCCAUGAAAACCAUGUAAGCGUGAUAAAAAUAUUUUACUUUUCUAACCGUGUUAAAAAACCUUAUAACCUCAUAUUCAAAAUCAUAAAUCUUAUGUUUAAAACUUGUGGCUAGCAUCUACCCCCUUAAUGGGCCUAUAGAAUGCAAAUGAUUAGCUACUGGGCUCGUUCCGGUAGAUACCUUAAGAAAUAAAAAAAAAUCAGAAACCUUAUAAUCCUACACUGAAUAUUUUUAUUUGCUUGUUUGACUUUUUAAAUAUGUAAUAUUGACUAUGUGAUUAUUUUUUUAAUUUAAAAAUGUUAUAUAAUUCGAUUUACAAGAAUUUCUUUAAGGGUCUCAUCAAUAUUAGACUUGAAUUAUUAAAUAAAUCAAUAGAGUAUAGGGACUAAAUUCAUGGAAUUAAGAGUUAUAUAAAUUUUAAAUGUUUGAAGAGUACAUGGACUAAAAGCAAAUUAGACCAUAUUAAAAGUAGAGUAGAGGGACUAAUAUGUUAUUGCUCUUCCUGCUCCUUAACACAACAUUCUUGCUGGGAGAAUUACUCUUCUAAACAUCGCAUUUUUCUCCUGAGUCUCUAAGUCAUGAGGUUGGAGGCCUGAUGCCUGUUGGUGAGAACCUUGGUCUAGUGGAAUAGGAGUUGCAGUUGGUGGAGCGGGCGUGGCCGUGAGGCAAGUUACAACUUCUUGUAAGCAUUGGGCUGUAUGGUUAAAAGGCCUAGGAAGAGUCACACUAGGCUAUGAUUAAGGCAUUGCAGCAGCCAAGGAGUCGAGGUGACUAGAGGAACAGUUCUUAUUGGUACAACAGGAGUUGUAGGGUUGGUGGCUAGAGGAUCUUCUAGAGCCUUGACUAGUUGUUCUAAAGUGGGAAGAAGGACGCUUGCAUAUUGUAGAUGAGCUCUAGCAGGAAUGGAGGCAGAAGGAAAGGUUUGUGUAGAGUUCAAACCAGUAGAAAUACUUGAGACAGGUGAGAUGAAGGUGUUAAGUGAAGUGGAAAAGUUGACUUGGUUAGUUGGGUUAUUGAUCUGGUUGGUUUGAUCAGUUGGGGUGUCACUUUGAGAUUAAGAAGCCAUGUUGUCCACACUAACCGCACUAAUUGUUGAUACAAUAUACAACAAGAGAAACAUAUGAGGAAGAGAAGGGUGGUUGCUAUGGAGGUUGGUUCACUUAAUCGGGGUGGAGAGCUAGAGGUUAUUGAUAGCAGUGGAAAAGAGAACGUAAAGGUUAAGGCUUGAAAGAGUGUUGGCAUAGUGUAGGCUUAAUAUUCUUGAAGGGUCAACCAAAUCCUUCUUUAUCGUUCCUGAUGUUAACGUAUUGGACUUGGCAUCCAGCCAUCAUUACGGGGAACGUAGGAGGGAUGUCUUAGAUGAGAUGAGGAUGUUUGUGACAAGACAGAUUUUGUCUUUCAUUUUGACUUGAUGGGAUAAAACAAUUGAGCUCAUGUAAUAUUUAAUGAGCAACAACUUUAUGUUCCCAAUGAAGAGUAGGUCACCCAUUGCCUACGUGGUCACUCUGGAAGGGUGAGUACGCAGGUGGCCUCUAAGCUUACUAGUGGCAGGCUUACAACUCAGGUGCCUUUUCGGCUUAUCAUGCAUGUUUUGAUACAAAUGUGGUAUAACAAUGAUCAAAAUUAAAUUCAUUAUAAUUAUUUAGAAUUAGAUGCUAAUUUUAAAUUAAAAUGUACGAAUUAGCAUGUUGAUUAAUUACUUUAAAUUUAUUAUUUAAAAUAUUUAAAAAAUAUUUUAUCUCAAGGGUCGGUCACAUAUCUUUAUUUAAUCACAAGUAAAUAUAUGAGAUAACUUUUUUUAAAUACAUUUAAAAAUAUAUAAAAGUAUUUUUCUAAUGAAUCUUAAAUCAAAAUUAGAGUCAACAUGCACAUAAACCAUUUAAAAACAUUAUUUAAAAUUAAAAAUAAAUAAUAUUUAAACAAAUUUCCAUUCUACUCGCUCGAUUGUGAAUUGUAAAUUAAUUUAAGAAUCAAUAUAAAGACUGUUAGUACAAAUCUCCGGUGAGGAAAAUCUUAAACACACAAACAGAACUCGAACAGUAAAAGAAGAAAAAAAGGACAAGGCUUCAAGGUGUGUAUCAAGCACUAUCUUUAAGGUUAUAUUCGCCUCCACCUAUCUUCGGUGUGCAAAUGAGUUCCAAGCAAAUUAACCUUGAGGAUACAAUGAAGCCAAUGACUAUUUGCGUUUUGCUCUGACGAGAGUAGUCCACUACGCACUGAGCAAUGUAUAACAAAAACUCAAUUUCUACAAAGGAUUUCUGCAGUAAUACUUUAUAGAAUAAUCUAAUAAUAUUAGAAAAUGAAGGAAGGAAAGAAAUAAGAUUUAGAAUUUGUUGGUGUGAUUUCCAAAUGAAAUCCCAUUCCUAUUUAUAGAAAUUUUCAUGUCUAUUCAUAAAGACAUCUUUCAAUAGGUGUCUUUAUGAAUAAAUAAAUAAUAAUUAUUCAUUUAAUUUUAUAACUAUUCAAAUAAUAUUUUUUGAAUAGUUAUAAUUCUUUUUAAAAAAUCAAUUGAUAUAACUUUUGACCAAUGACCAAAAGAUUUAUCUUUUGAUUAAUUACAACUUUUCUUUUAUAGUUAUUAGGGUACUAUAAAUAUUUGAAAAUGUUUCAACAAUCUCUCCCCAUUUUCAAAAUAUUUAGAUUUUGAUAUUCUUGGAAAUUAAUUUGCAUAAAUAAAGGUGUCUUACGAUUGAACCUUCACUUAGUGAAAACAUGUUAAAGUUAAUCGAAAUUGCAUGGUAGACUAAGCUUUGAACCAACUAUUCCAUUUGAUUAACCAAACACAUCUCACACAAUGAUUUCAACAUCGAUCAAUGCAUAGUAUUUAGGGACACUAUUAUGGCCAUGUGUCUGUGUCAUCUUUUCAUGAGUGAUGUUAGAGCCAAGCUCUUGAGCUCCUAGAAGUGGCCACACUUCCAUUCACAUAGAUAGAUCCCAUCAAGAGUGUUCUCAUAAUUAUAACACUCUAACAUAUUUAUGUUAUGGGUCCAUUAAGAGUACAUUACUCAUCCUUCCCUUAUCAUUACGGGUACCUAGCACUUUAAUCUUAGGAUGGAUUUAUUUAUAGUGCUAACAGUCACAUACUAAUGAUGUACUUUGUCUCAUUAAACUCAAGACUUGACAUUAUACCAAGCGUUGAGUCGAGUUUCCAUCAUGGGUGACUCUAAUUAAUGGGCUUGAGUCCCAUCCCUUUUGAGGUCCUUUUUACUGUAUCUUUAGCAAGACUUUUUGUCAAAGGAUCCGCCAAAUUUUCACUUGACCUCACAUAAUUAAUAGUGAUCACUCCAUCAGAAAUUAAUUGUCGGACAUAGCUAUGUCUUAAUCCAAUGUGUUUAGACUUUCCAUUAUAUACUUGGCUAUAUGCCUUUGCUAGAGUAGCCUCAUUAUCACAACGGAUAGAAAUAAGUGAAAUUGGCUUAGGCCAUAAAGGUACAUCAUAAAGCAAAUUUCUUAACCAUUUUGCUUCUUUAGAUGCAACGGCUAAUGCAAUGAAUUCUGCUGCCAUAGUGGAAUUAGUAAUACAUGUUUGUUUCUUGGAACACCAAGAAAUGACUCCUCCACCAAGAAUGAAGAUCCAUCCACUAGUAGAUGCAUGAUCUUCCAAACUUGUAAUCCAACUAGCAUCUAAAUACCCUUCUAAAACUAGAGGAUAUCCAUUAUAACACAAUCCAUAGUUAAUAGUUUUCUUUAAGUACCUAAGUACUAUAUUCAAAGUUUGCCAAUGCAAACUACUUGGAUUACUUGUGUACCUACUCAAUUUUCCAAUAACAUAUGCAAUAUCUGGUCUUGUACAAGUCAUUAUGUACACAAGACACCAAUUAGACUUGCAUAUUUCAAUUGAUCAAUUUUCCUACCAGCAUUAGAUACUAAUUUUAUUUGAGGAUCCAUGGGUGUAGAUGCUGGUAUACAGUUGAAAAGAUCAAACUUUUUAAGCACAUUUUCAAUGUAAUGUGAUUGUGAUAAAGCUAUAGUGCUUUCAUCUCUAGUUAUUUUAAUCCCAAGAAUAACAUCUGCUACACUCAUAUCCUUCAUAACAAAGUUAUAGUGGUUUCACAAUCGUGAAGCACAAUUCUUGGUCUACAUAGAAGUAACAUAUACUUGUUCGUGGGCUAGUUAUUCGACCAGAUUUAAAGGUCCUUUUGAAAUUUGAAAGGAUUUGAAUAAAAAAAUUAAGCUCAUUUAAAAUAUGAGUUGGGCUCGAGCUUGAACAUUCAAGGCUUAAGCUUGACUCAGCCCGACUCAUUUUUAAGUUUAUAGUACUUUAUAUUAUGUUAUUUUUAUAUAUAUUAUGUAAUUUAGAAUACAUUAAAAAAUAAACUUAUAUUAAAUAUAUAAUACUACUCUACUGUAAACAUUAAAAUAAUGUUAAGAUGGCUAUAUAAAAAAUUUCAAUAAAUAAAAAAUAUAUAAAAUUAUUAAAUAUUUAAAAAAAUAAAAUAUUUUUUUUAAAAUUAAAAAAUAAUAUAGGCGAGAUUAAAAUGAUUUGGGAAAAUGAUGAAAGAAAAGAACUUUUGGACCAAGAAAAACUAAAGAAGAAAACCUGGUAAGAUUUCACAGUAUGUUCACCAAUAGGACAAUAGUAUUUGACAUGAAUUAAAUAGGGUCAGGCCAGCUUAGACUCAAACACCGGUCUUGGUUAAGCAUUUGUUCUCACGGGACACGUGAAGAAAUUUACAGAAAUGAAAAGUCAAUAUUCUUAGAGGAACUUUACUAAUAGAGUCUCAGCUAUAUUCUCCAUUAAAAGGCCCUACUGUUCUAUGUUCUUUUUUUUUGCGUGAUUUGGUUUGGUGUUAAUGGCAUUUUCUUAAUUUAACUAUGUCGAAACCAUUUUUUUGAAAAACAAAAUUUUUAGGUUGUCGACUUUAAAAAAAACAAAAUAAAUGGGAGUCGCCACCAAUCUUUUAUUGAGGUGUGAUUGGAUCACCUAAAAAAAACAGCUUUGGUCUACGAGUUUUAGAAAAACGGAUCCGGGAGCCAGUUGCGUACGAGGAAGGAUUAGCACCCUCGUAACGCCCAAAAUUGGUACCUAGUUAAUUAAUUAGUGUCUUAAGGUCUAGAAUUUGGAAAAACAACGUAAUCCUUAGCAAAACUUAAAAGGCUACGUAUUAAGACCCUUAUUAUUUCAGAGCAAAAGAUACCACACCCAAUGCGUUAGGGCACAACAUUCUAAUUUUCCCCAAAAUAAAUCGGGCCAAAAUACUUGUACAAUAAAACUUUAAAAGAACAUCCACUAAUCCAAGAUUUAAGAAAUCACACCCAAUACGUUAGGGCACGAUUCCUCUAGAAUCCCAAGCUCAGAAUAUUUCCUUUUCUUUAAAAGAACAUCCACUUAUCCAAGAUUUAAGAAAUCACACCCAAUACGUUAGGACACAAUUCCUUUAAAAUCCCAAACUCGGAAUAUUUCCUUUAUUAUUUUAAAAAAAUCUUCAUUUCGAGAAAUCAAUGCGUCACAUCCAAUACGUUAGGACACAACGUGUUGAAUUCCCAAUAAUGAGUUUUUUUUUGAUUGAAGAGAAAUGCUUGAUUAUCGGAUUUAACGAAGAAAAUCGGAACCCAAUACGUUAGGGCUCAAUUCCCUUGAAAAUCUUAAAUACGAACAUUAUCUCAAUUUUAAAAAAAAAUUUCUAUCUUUAAAUUUGAGUAAAAAAUGAUGUAAUGUGAUUUUAUACAUGCAAAUGCUAUAAUAACAAUAAUAACAAUAAUAAAUACAUCAUCGACAUAAAAAUAAUAUAAGCAAAUGAAUAAACGAAAUAAAAAAAGGUAAUCCAUGACAUGCAAAAUAUUAAGUGUAAACACAAUUAUACAAUGGAUGGGAUAGCAAACAAAUAAAUAAGGAUCAAAAGAUGUACAAAUGGAAAUUAUGAAGAUUAAAAAUAUACAUAUAAUUUACAAAUAAAAUUUUAGGUUAUGGAAUUUAUAUAUAAAUACAACACAUAAUAUACUUAUGAAAAUAAGAAAAAAAAUAAUUAUACAUACAUAUAUAAAAUAAUAACAAAUAAGUAUAUUUUUAAAAAAGGAAAAAAGGUGAGUAUUUAAUCACUUAAAAACGUAAAUAUAUACAUAAAUAUAUGAAAAUAUUCAUUAAAAAAAUAGCAAAAUAUUCGUUUUUUUAAAAUAUAUAUAUAUGUGUGUGUGUGUGUACAUAUAAAAGGAAUAUAUAUAGAAAAAAAAUUAGAAUAAAAAUAAUAAUUACACUAUUAAUUAAUAAAAUAAAUAAAAAGAACAUAAAAAAACUAAAUUGAAUUGCAAUUAAAAUAUCUGGGGUAAAUCCGCAAAUAAAUAAAAGUAAAAGGACUAAUUUGAACGCGCGAGUUACAUAGAGGGGCUGGAAGGGAAAUUUUCCCUUCUCCUCUAAAAUGUUGUCGUUCAAACUUCAAAAGGAUUAAAUUAGAAUUUAAAAUAAAUAAAAGGGUAAAUUAAAAAAAUAAAGAAAACUUAAUUACAAAAAUAUUAAAAAGCGGAGGGGCUAAAUAAAAUAAAUAAAUAAAAUUCGCAGUGGUAUCACCUUCUCCCUUUUUUAAAAUCAUAAAUAAGUAAAAAAUAAUAAUCGAAAGAAAAAAAUAGUAAACCAGCUUUAAAAAACUGCCAAUCGUUCUUUUUUUAUUCCUCCUCCUCUUUUUUCUUUUUUUUUUACAAUGAAGGGAGAGGCCUCUAUUUAUAGUUGAGCCUCCCCAAAUCCAACGGUACAGAUCAACGGCUGAGAUUAAAGGGUAUCUACAAAUUAAAUCUCUAAGAUUACAAAAUCAAAUCUUCUAAGAUUACAUAUCAUAUCUAAGAUUGCAUAUAUCAUAUCUAAGAUUGCAUAUCAUAUCUAGGAUUGCAUAUCAUAUCUAAGAUUGCAUAUACUCAAAAAUUAUGUUUCCAUAUGUGAGCCCGGGCUAAAAUUGGGUAUUACAAACUAAACACACCAAAUUUAUUAGGACAAAAGAAAAAACAUAUAAAACUAACGUAGCAUUGUUGUAGGCCAUAUGAAGAAUCCGAGGAACGCGGAUUUGAAUGUUGCGUGCUACGUCGUUUAAUGCUUAUAACCUCUCAUGUUACUCACAUUUUCUGUCAAAGUUUUCACUUUGGAAAAAGAAGUCAGACAAUGUCAAAUUGUACCCUUGAUUACAGUCAUUUCCACUUCCUUUACCGUACUGUAAUUUCUUUCAAUAUUUGAUUCUUUGCUUGCAUGAAUAUUACAAUGUCUAAUUCUGCUUUAAUCUUUUUUAUAUUUUUCUACUUUGAAUCAUAAAAAUUUAGUUUCUCUACUCUUUUGAUUAUAUAGCAUUUUUAAAAUUAAAAAAGUCACGUAACCAAUUUAAAACUCCAUGAAAAUUAUGUAAGGUGUAAAGGUUUUUUGCUUUUCUAACUGUUAGAAUUAAGUGACUCGAAUCAUUAUUUAAAUAAAACAUAGUAGUAAAAUAAAAUAAAAGUAAAAUCCUAUAGAACUAUACAUCUUUUAUUUUAUUUUAGAAUAAGGUUUUUUAAACCUUAUUAAACUCCAUCUAUUUGAUAUUGAUUAGAAUAAGGUGUUUCAAUAUUACUACAAUCUUAUUAGAAUAUAAUUUUACAAGCCUAUAAAUAGACAUAGUCUACUCCUCUUGUAAUUAUUUGAAUUCGAUAUAGUGAAUUAUCUUCUCCUCUGCCCGUAAAUUUUUUUCCGAAAGGGUUUUCACAUAAAAUCUGUGUGUUCUUUAUUUCUCUCUCUUUUACUUUGCGAUAAAUUAUCAUUACCGACGUUCUAUUUUUUACAAAUUGGGAUCAGAGCUUCCGGGUUGUUCAUCUUAAUCAUAGUAAUGACGUCUUUGAAGUAUGAAAUUCCGUUGUUGGAUCACAACACCAGAUUCACAUUGUGGCAAAUAAAGAUGCAGACAAUUCUUGCACAGAUGGACUUAGAGGAAGCCCUGCUAGGGGUGGACAAGAUGCCUUCAACAUAGAAAGGAGGAAGAGAAGAAGCGCAAGGAUCGAAAGGCGUUAACUCAGUUACAUCUGUAUUUGUCUAACAAAAUUUUGCAAGAUGUGAUGAAGGAGAAGACCGUCACUGGAUUAUGGAAGAGGUUGGAACAAAUAUGUAUGUCGAAAACUCUAACUAGCAAGCUGUAUAUGAAACAACGUCUUUAUGCUCAUCGUUUGGAUGAAGGUGCAUCUGUGCACGAACACUUAACAAUGUUUAAAGAAAUUCUCUCAAACUUGAAGGCUAUGGAGGUUCAAUAUGAUAAGGAAGAUCUAGGGUUGAUUCUACUUUGCUCGUUGCCCCCGUCUUAUUCAACCUUUAGAGAUAUGAUUUUAUAUAGCCGCGAGUCUCUCACAAUUGAUGAGAUUUAUGAUUUUUUAACCUCGUAUGAUAAGAUGAAGCAUCUUGUGGUUAAAACCAACUCUCAGGGAGAGGGUCUCAUUGUUCGUGGAAGACAAGAUCGAAAUGCUGAUUAUGAUCGUAGAAGGACACAGGAAUAGAAUCCUCGUGGUAAAUCUAAGGGUAGAUUGAAGUCUUCAAACAGAGGUAAAACUUGUAACUUCUGCAAGAAGAAAGAGCACAUUAAAUUUGAGUGUUAUAAGCUACAGAACAAGAUCAAAAGGGAGGCUGCGAAUUAAAAUAGAAAACAACCAGAAAAUUUCGGUAAAGCUGAUGUUGUAGAAUACUACAGUGAUGGCGAACUUCUAGUCGCUUUUGUCAACAAUUCUAAAGUGAGCGAGGAGUGGAUCAUUGAUUCGGGUUGCACCUUUCACAUGAGUCCCAAUCGGGAUUGGUUUACAACUUACGAAACAGUGUCUGAAGGUGUUGUUUUGAUGGGAAAUAAUGCUUCGUGUAGAAUUGCAGGUGUUGGAACAAUUAAAGUUAAGAUGUUUGAUGGAGUUGUCAGAACACUUAGUGACGUAUGACAUGUUCCUGAAUUGAAGAGAAAUUUAAUUUCGUUGAGUACUCUUGAUUUAAAAGGGUACAAAUACAUAGCUGAAAGUGGGGUUUUGAAGAUUUUCAAAGGUUCCCUCGUUGUGAUGACAGGGAAGAGAAAGACUUCCAAGUUAUAUAUUUUGCAAGGUUCUACUGUUACUGGUGAUGCAGCUGUCGCAUCCUCUUCCUUGUCAGAUAAUGAUAUUACUAAACUUUGACAUAUGCGCCUAGGGCAUAUGAGUGAGAAUGGUAUGACAGAAUUGAGCAAAAGAGGACUUCUUGAGGGACAAGGAAUUUGUAAACUAAAGUUUUGUGAGCACUGCGUUUUUGGAAAGCAAAAGAGAGUUCGAUUCACCAGAGGAAGCCAUAACACGAAAGGAACGUUGGGGUAUAUUCACUAUGAUUUGUGAGGGCCAUCCAGAGUGCCUUCGAGAGGUGGAGCUAAUUAUAUGCUAACUUUUAUUGAUAAUUUUUUCAGAAAAGUGUGGGCGUUCUUCCUAAAGCAGAAAAGCGAUGCGUUUUCCGCAUUUAAGUCUUAAAAAACUAUGAUUGAAAAAUAGACGGGAAAACAAAUAAAAUACCUCUGCAUAGACAAUGGCUUAGAGUUCUGUUUUGAUGAGUUUAAUAAACUGUACAAGUUAGAAGGGAUCGUGAGACACUUGACAGUUCGUCAUACUCCACAGCAAAAUGGCGUCGCAGAACGAAUUAACAGAAUGAUCAUAGAGAAGGUUUGAUGUAUGUUGUUAAAUGCCAAUUUACCAAAGUCAUUUUGGGCUACAGCAGCCUCUACUGUAUUUUUUUGAUCAACCGAUUUCCAUCCGUUGCCAUUGAGAAAAAGACUCCACAAGAGGUAUGGUCUGGUAAUCCUGCUGACUAUUUUGAUUUAAAAAUCUUUGGGUGUCUUGCGUAUGCUCAUGUUGAUAAUGGAAAAUUGGAACCGUGAUUCAUUAAAUGUGUUUUUCUUGGUUAUAAAGCUGGUGUAAAAGGGUAUAAGUUAUGGUGUCUUGAAAAUAGAAACGUUGUGAUUAGCAGAGAUGUUGUUUUUUAUGAAACUGCUAUGCUACCUAACUUAUCUCUUAAAGGCUCUUCCAAUAAAGAAAAUCAAAAGCAGGUAGAACAUCAAAUUAAUCUAGAAUCUACAACAGAGUCGACUCCUCAAGCCAGUACAAAAAUUCAGAAUAGAGUUGCUUCUUCACAACAAUACUCUAUCGCCAAAAAUAGAACUAGAAGAGAAAUUAAACCUACAAAGAAGUAUGCCGAGGCUGAUCUAGUUGUUUAUGCUUUAAAUGUGGCUGAAGAUAUAGAUACAAAUCAAGAGCCAUCUAAUUAUUCUGAUGCGGUUAGUUGUGAAGACUCAGAAAAGUGGAUGUUUGUUAUGCAAAAGAAGAUGAAAUCACUCCACAAAAACAAAACAUGGGAUCACUUCCUAAAGGUAAAAAGGUUGUUCAUUGUUAAAUGGGUGUUUAAAAAGAAAUAAGAGACUCUAGGAGUUGAAAAAACCAUAUAUAAAGCAAAGCUUGUUGCAAAGGGUUACAGUGAAAUUCCAGGAGUGGACUUCAUAGAUGUGUUCUCCCCAGUUGUAAGGCAUAGUUCGAUUCAAGCUUUGCUUGGUAUUGUGGCCAUGCAUGAUUUUGAGCUUAAGCAGUUAUAUGUAAAAACUGCAUUUUUGUAUGGAGAACUUGAGGAGGAGAUUUACUUGCAACAACCAGAGGGUUUUACAGUCUCAGAAAAAGAGGACUAUGUUUGCUUGCUGAAAAAGUCCGUUUACGGUUUGAAACAGUCACCACGACUGUGGUACAAGAGGUUUGAUUCCUUUAUGACUUCUAAUGAUUUUAAAAGAAGUAGCUUUGGCAGUUGUGUUUACUUUAAGAAAAACAGUGAUGGUUCUUUUAUGUAUCUACUCCUUUAUGUUGAUGACAUGUUAAUAGCAGCGAAAGAUAAAUGAGGGAUAAAAAAGGUCAAAGCCCAACUAAGUGAAGAAUUUGAGAUGAAAGAUUUGGGACCAACAAAGAAGAUACUUGGUAUGAAGAUUCUUAGAGAUAGAAAAGCAAGUAAAUUGUACUUAAGUCAGAAGGGGUACAUUGUGAAAGUUCUUUGCAGAUUCAAUAUGCAGAAUGCUAAGCCUGUUAGUACUCUUUUGGCAGCCCAUUUUAGACUUUCAUCGACUUUGUCUCCACAACUAGAUGAUGAGAUUGAGUACAUGUCACAUGUUCCAUACUCUAGUGUAGUGGGAUCUCUCAUGUAUGCUACGGUUUAUUCACAUCCAAAUUUAUCAUAUGCAGUCAGUGCAGUUAGCAGAUACAUGGCGAAUCCCGGUAAAGAAUAUUAGAAAGCACUUCUGUAGAUUUUAAGAUACUUACGAGGUACUACUGAUGUUUACUUACAGUUUGGAAGAACUAGAGAUGGAGUCAUUGGGUAUGUUGAUGCUGAUUUUGCUGGAGACCUUGAUAGAAGAAGAUCUCUCACAAAUCAUGUCUUUACAAUCGGAGGUUGUGCAAUCAGUUGGAAAGCCACUUUGCAAACUACAGUUGCUUUGUCUACCACUGAAGCUGGAUGUUGUAAAGAAACUAUUUGGUUGAAGUGACUCUUUAAUGAACUCAAUAAAGACCUUCAAAUCAAUACAGUAUUUUGUUACAGUCAGAGUGCCAUCUUCCUUAAAAAAGAUCAAAUUUUUCAUGAGAGAACCAAACACAUUGAUGUUUGGCAUCAUUUUAUUAUUGCUCGUGGUGAUAUUGUUGUGAGCAAAAUUAGUACUCAUGAAAAUCCUGCAGAUAUGAUGACUAAGUCACUUCCUAUGAGCAUUGCUUAGACUUGAUUGGUAUUCAUUGUUGGAGUUAAACCCUUAAGGGGUUUUAUGGAAGAGGUGGAGAACUUAUUCGUUGAGAGUUCGCGAUGAAGAAUUUGUUCAUUGAGAAUUCGUGUCAAGGUGGAGAUUGUUAGAAUUAAGUGACUCGAAUCCUUAUUUAAAUAAAAUACAAUGGUAAAAUAAAAUAAAAGUAAAAUCCCUAUAGAAUUAUACUUCUUUUAUUUUAUUUUAGAAUAAUGAUUUUAAACCUUAUUAAACUCUAUCUAUUUGAUAUUGAUUAGAAUAAGGUGUUUCAAUCUUACUACACUCCUAUUAGAAUAUGGUUUUACAAGCCUAUAAAUAGAUAUAGUUUACUCCUCUUGUAAUUAUUCGAAUUCGACAUAGUGAAUUGUCUUCUCCUCUGCCCGUUGUUUUUUUUUCCCAGAAGGGUUUCCACGUAAAAUCUGUGUGUUCUUUCUUUUUCUCUCUUUUUCUUUGCGAUAAAUUGUCAUUAUCAACGUUCUAUUUUUAACACUAACAGUGUUAAAAAAGUUUAUAACCUAAUAUUCAAAAUCAUAAACCAUAUGUUUAAAACUUGUGGCCAGCAUCUAUCCCUUUAAUGGGCCUACAGAAUGCAAAUGAUUAGUUACUGGGCUCGUUCUGGUAGAUACUUUGAGAAAUAAAAAAAUUAGAAACCUUAUAAUCCUACACUGAAUAUUUUUAUUUGCUUGUUUGACUUUUUAAAUAUGUAAUAUUGACUAUAUGAUUAUUUUUUUAAUUUAAAAAUGUUAUAUAAUUCGAUUUACAGGAAUUUCUUUAAGGGUCUUAUCAAUAUUAGACUUUAAUUAAAUAAAUCAAUAGAGUAAAGGGACAGAAUUCAUGGAAUUAAGAGUUAUAUAAAUUUUAAAUGUUUGAAGAGUACAUGGACUAAAAGUAAAUUAGACCAUAUUAAAAGUAGAGUAGAAGGACUAAUACGUUAUUGCUCUUACUGCUCCUUAACACAACAUUCUUAUUUGGAGAAUUACUCUUCCAAACAUCGCAUUUUCUCCUGAGUCUCUAAGUCAUGAGGCUGGAGGCCUAAUGCUUGUUGGUGAGAACCUUGGUCUAGUGGAAUGGGAGUUGUGGUUGGUGGAGUGGGUGUGGUCGUGAGGCAAGUUACAACUUCUUGUAAGCAUCGGGCAGUAUGGUUAAAAUGCUUAGGAGGGGUCAUACUAGGCUGUGAUUAAGGCAUUGCAGCAACCAAGGAGUCGAGGUGACUAGAUGAACAGUUCUUAUUGGUACAACAGAAGUUGGAGGAUUUGAUAGGUGUCGAUUCCACCAAUAUAAUCCUACGCCUAAUUUGCAAAUUUAAGCAGUAUAGGGAGUAGGGUCGAUCCCUCAUAGACUGGGUUUACUGCAAAUUGUUGCUCUCUUGACCAGAUUUAUGUCGGGGCAGUUGCUGUGCCCAAGAAGUUCAGGGGGAUAAAAUUUGAAACCUGAAAUAAAUAAAUAAAAUUCAUAAAAAGUAAAAGCUGAAGACAGAAUAAUAAAAACAGUUAAAUAAAUCUGAAGGGAAAUUAAUUAAACUUAGCCCAGCUUCAGGCACAGGUUUUUCCUCGUCUUUAAACCGAUCAUCAAAAUUAGAUGAACUCCUCUUUUCCAAUAAGCUAGCUAUAGCUACCAAGGAUGCCUCAGACACCAACUCUUCCUUGUGUAAACUAGUUAUGGAACAUCCAAUAACUAACCCUUACCGAUCGAACAACCAACGAAACAUUCGUGAUUUAGAACUCCGACAGCUUUGCGUUCUAGAAUAGCCUAGCUCAAACCAAUGCCCUCAACUGUGUGGGACAUUUAAAUCUGGUUACUCCUUCCCAUGAUGGAACCAAACAGUAAUCCCCACUUGGCAUGCCAAUGUGUUCACAGAAAACCGAUUGGACAAUCGAUCCUUUCGGAAUUCCAAUUGUACGUCUAACCACAGUAACUCAAACGACGUCUUUUUUGACUUAGUGUUAAUUUGACUUUAUGAGUUGACAAAAUCAUACUCUUAAUCCAGAGAAAUAAUAAGUGCUGGAAUUUAGGAGUUAAAUUGCUCAAGUUCGUAACUCAUGGUUUUGACUAGGCUAACUCCGACCUAAAGCUGAAAUGGUUUUAGUUGACUAAGGUUUGGGGCAUGUUGGUAUUGGGCAUAAUUGGAGAAUGUUGAAUAAAUGAAAAAGAAAUGAAAGUAGGUGGGUGUGGGUAACGCAAGGUUUGAUGCAGUAUUUCUAAAGCUGAAAAUAAAUGGAAAAAUAUGAGGAACUUGUGACAGAAAAUAAAUUUGCAAGGAAAGAAAGAUUGUAUUCAAGAGAUGAAAAAAGCUUGAUUGAAAACUUGAUGAAUGAAUGAACAUAGUAGCCUUAUUUAUACUAGUGGCUUUGCCAAAUUAAGAGCCACUAACCAUAGAAAAUCAAGGAAAUAAAAUAUUCCAUGAUACAAAAAAAUCCCUACAUAAUCUCCCACUAAGUCAACAUAGAAUUUUAGCUAAUGACAUCUUGGAAAAAUUCUUCUUUGGCCCGCAUUCUUUGCUCCUUACUUCAAUCUAGCCCAAUUGUUUCCUUUUUCUUAUAUUUAGCCCCAAAUUGCACCCCUGCACAAAAUUCAAUAUAAACAUGGAAAAAUCAGUGGUGCACUCUCAUAAAUUAACCAAUUUAAUUACAUGAAAUAUGUAUUUUUAGCAUUUAAUCAAAUCCCCCUACUUAUUUAAUACUAGUCCUCGAGCAUUAUUCAUGUAUCUGCAAAAGGAAAAAUUUCCUCCAAAAUAGGACUUGACCCCCAUGGUUUGCACAAUUCAACAAUUUAAUCCUAUCACAUUAACAUCUCAAAUAACCUAGCCUAAGAAGUAAGUAAAUAUAUUUCAGAAAUUAUUAGAGCUUGAUAGACUUACCCUUCAUUUUAUUAUUUUUGUACUUAGGACAUUUUCGAAUUUUUUGACGCGAGACAUGAUGACAACCCAAGCAUCAUGUUUCGGUUAGUCGAUUCGGAUGUCUCUAAGCGGGAUAUUUCACCCUACUCGUGAUAGCCUGUUAGCGAAGUGAGUGCAAAGAAAUUGGACAGCCACACGAACCUUUUUACGCGAGAUGUGAUGAUAACCUAAGCACCACGUUUCGGUUACUUAGCCCGAUGUACAACCCUAAUUUUUCACUCUUAACAUUCGUAUAAGAGGAGUAUUAUUAUUUAUUCAUUUCUUUUUUUUAAGAAGAGAAGGUAGAAAAUUAACAUGUGAUAUAAGGUACGCAAUUAAGCAAACUCAUAAUUUCUAAAAAUUUCUUACCCACUAAGUUUAGGUUAUUGAAAAUUUUUAUGUGUAAAGAACUAAAUAGCUAAAUAGGUCAAACCAUAAGUGUACUGUCCUAAUUUAUCAAAAGAAAAAUUUUACCUUUCACGAAAAACAUGCAAAAACAGCGACAACAGAUAAGAAAAUUAGAACCAAUUUAUGUUUCCCUCCCCCUACUUAUUUUACAUUGUCCCAAUGUAAUUUGAAUUAUUUAAUGGAUAAAAAGUAAAAUUAGGUAGGGAAAGGAAAAAUUAACUCCCCAUGUAUUUCAACGUCGUGGAGGGUGGUCUCGUAGGUGUGUGAGAACGUCUGUCACCAAGGUGCGUAAAGAUUUGAGUCCUUCCUCGAUUCGGGUCAAUCGAGAUUAGACAGAAGUUGAAGGCUCCAUUCCGUGCUGGUGUCUACAUUGGAACACUCUAUUCGACCGAUCCGUUCUCGUACCUGGAGGAACAAAAUAAAAAGAAGAAGGGGUACCGGCAAGUAACCCCACAGAAUCCAAGCAGUACAUAUCUAAAGAGUCCAUUUUGUAUGCCAAAUUCAAAGAACUAAAAUUGAUAGCUGAUGGAUUCAAAUUGGAGGCUAAACGUGUGAUGUAAGUACCCAAAAUUAGUGGUUGAUUAGACCGCAAAACAUGUUGAAACUUAAUAGCAAACCAAUAGCCUAAAUUCACCUUUCUACCCAAAAUGCAUGCACCAUAGAAAGAAUAAUUCAGUUUUAGUUAAAGAGGCAGAUGCAUCAUUACGUUCGGAAAAAUUGAAAGCAAGGAAUCUAUGUAUGUAUCUCAGUAUAGGACUAUGAAUUCCUAUGUCUUUACAAUGCUUCGGGUCGUACGAUAUCUGUCUCAUUUCAAUUAACAAUGCUAAACCUUUAUUGGCAUUAAAAUCAGGUGGUAUGUCGAGAUAUGAUUCAUAAUAGUCAUUAGUUGCUAAAUAGUCCUCACUAACAAAUCCCAAAGCAACAUUAAACUUAGAAAUAGACAUAUUAUAAUGCACACCUAGCAAGCGAAAAUUGACAGCACCAUGUGUGUCCACCAUGUUAGCAGAGCGAUUGAAGUAAAAUAUGGAAUAAAAUUUAGAAACCAACUCAUAAUAUGCAGGUUCAUCAAUGGCAGCAAAAGCAGUCCACCCAAUAGCAUUAAAAUAUUGAUUAACAGAUUCUUCAAUUUCUAAAGAAUAUAAUGAGCGUGCUUACAUAUCGGAAGAGGACGAUGUUGGAUUUGUUCGAAUUGUGCUUGGUGUGUCAGGCUCGUGAACUUAGAUUCCCAUGGAAUCUAUUCUCCGCGGGCAUGAAUCCUCUUCCUUGUCAAAAUCGACCGCGUUCACGUGGGCGAAAGUCAAUGUCAUGGUGGUCCGUUUCAUCUUCGUGAUUUUUGGCAUCGUCUGUCGUUGGAGUUGAUAAAUCGGCCAAAGGUGGCUGUUGGCGACCUCGGGUUUGUCUUUGCAUUGAAUGUGGUUCAACACCAUCAUUCGGGGGUCACGGAGUUCUUCUCGAAGGCCCCGAUUGUAUUGGUUGAUGUGCAUGGACGUUUGGUCUGGGAGAUGGGCGGUCUUGGCUAUCGGAUGAGUUUGGUGGUACGACCGGGCUGUUUGGAGGAUGGUCGACCGAAUUGGGUGGAUCAUGGGGUGGGUAGACUUCGACGAUCGAAAUUGGGUUGCAGUUUUUUCUAGGACGGCGCGAUUACAGCGGCGGAGAUAGAUGAGACUCGUUAGAGUUGAUGGUGACAAAGGGUUGGGCGGUGAACUAGUUUUGUCGUUGGUUUAUUGUGAACGGCAGUUCUUGUGCCAUGCAUUCGCGUGUGCGGACCAUGGUGGUGAAAUGGUUUCUUUGGAGGGGUGUUGAGUGGUGGUGUUGAAGAUGAAAGAGAAAGGGGAAUAAAAGAAAGAAAGUAGAGUUUGAAAAAGAAAUAGUUUUUUUCUUUCUUUGGCCUGUCAAAUGGGGGUAAUGGGGUUGGGUUUUCUUAGGUGGAAAAUAGGUGGAUAGGAUGUGAUUUGAUGGGUGAAAGGUUUUUUUUUAUUUUGAAAAUGGGUGGACGGUUAGGGGGGAAAAAGUGGUGAGUUGAAAUGGGGUAGUGAGGUUGUAGUUUUCUAGGUGAAAAGAUGGAUGUGAUAGGUGAAAGAUUAGGAUUUGAUGGGUGAAAGGUUAGGGUAUUUUUUUAAAAUUUGAAAAGGGGUGGACGGUUGGUAGUGUAAAUUUGGGUUUUAUUUUUGGGUUUGAAUUUGGGUUAGUAUAUUGGGUUUGGGUUUGGGUUUUGGUUAAUGGGUUAGCUUAGGUAUUGGAUUGGUUUAAAUGGUGGGUUGGUGGAGUGGGCCUUGGCUGAAAUAAAAAGAAUUUUAUGGGCUGACAUGGAGAAUUUAAUUUUGUUUUGGAAUGUUUCCCUGCAAAAACAAAACAAAAUAAAAAUAAAAAUAAAAUAAAAUAGUAAAAAUAAAUAAUAAUAAAAGGAAAAUUAAAAUUAAAAUGUGUAUUUUUUUUUAUUUCUCGAAUUUAUUAGCUAAGCUAUAAACUCAAGAAAUAAAUUAUUUAAAAACUAAGAUUACGAGAUUUAGUAAAAUAGUCGUGAUAAAUGUACCAAGUAAGUUUCCAGGAAAGAGAGGUGAGUCACAAUGGACAUUCUUAAGUACCAAGUCUUUCUUUAGACAGAACUGAUCAUCGACAUGCAUUUUUAUUUUUCGUUUUACCAAAAAUUUAGUUGCAUAAAGGGAAAAAUUUGGGUUGACUCCCAACAGCGCUUUGUUUAACGUCAUUAGCUUGACGACCUGCUACUCAAAUUCUGGGCUCCUCGAGAACAAUCUCCUCAACUGUGUGCGUUUGAAAAUUCUUGUAGAAGGGUUUUAGUCGUUGACCAUUCACCUUAAAGCACUUCCGGGUUUCUUCGCUUUGAAUUUCCACUGCACCAUUUGAGAAUAAAUUAGUAAUAGUAAAUGGACCUAUCCAUUUGGAUCGAAGCUUACCAGUGAAAAUUUUUAAAGUGGAGUCGUAUAGGAGAACUUUUUGUCCUAUUGAAAACUGCUUCCUAGUGAUUAACUUAUCAUGAAACGCCUUUGUCUUUUCUUUGUAAACUCGAGCAUUUUCAUAUGCAUCGUUUCUAAUUUCCUCAAGUUCCUGGAUGUCUAACUUUCGAGACCUUCUUGUAGACUCCAUCUCCAUAUUACACUGCUUAACUGCCCAAAAUACUUUGUGCUCUAAUUCGACCGGGAGAUGGCACGGUUUACCGAAAAUGAGUCGAUAAGGUGACAUGCCUAUUGAUCCCUUGUAAGCUGUCCUAUAAGCCCAAAGUGCGUCAUUUAGUCUCAAACUCCAAUCCUUUCUGUUAGGUUUAACAAUCUUUUCCAAAAUGGACUUGAUUUCACGAUUGGACACUUCAGCUUGCCCGUUUGUUUGUGGAUGGUAAGCAGUGGCAAUUCGUUGAGUUACUCCAUAUUUCUUCAUAACUGCACUUACGAGCUUAUUGCAAAAAUGAGUUCCUUUGUCACUGAUUAAUACUCGUGGAGUCCCAUACCUAGAAAAUAUAGAACUUUUAAGAAAGUCAACCACAGUCUUAGCAUUAUCAUUGUGAGUGGCUUUCGCCUCUAUCCACUUAGAAACGUAAUCAACAGCUAAGAGUAUAUAAAAAUUACCGAAAGAAAAAAUGAAAUGACCCAUAAAAUCGAUGCCCCACACAUCGAAAAUUUCGCAAAUAUGAAUAGGAGUAAGGGGAAUCUCGUUUCGACGAUUAAGAUUGCCAACUUUUUGUCACCUUUCACAGGUUUUGCAGAAUAUAAAGGCAUCACGAAAUAUGUUUGGCCAAAAUAGUCCACAUUCAAGAAUUUUAUGUGUGGUGCGUUUUGGUCCAAAGCGUCCUCUACAUGCAUAAGAAUGACAAAAAGUUAAGAUAGACUGUACCUUUGUUUCUGCUACACACCGUCAAAUUACCUGAUUGGAGCAAUGCUUCCAAAGGUAAGGGUCAUCCCAAAUGUAAUACUGAGCAUCUUUCUUUAUCUUAUCUUUUUUAGACCUUGGUAAUUCCGAAGGAACAGUACCUGUAACAAGAUAAUUUACUAUGUCUGCCUACCAAGGAUGAAUCGCAUUUGCUGAAAAGCAGGUUUUCAUUUAGAAAAUUGUCUUUUAAUGGUGUGUCAUCCACUGGAAUGGGUAAUCGACUCAGAUCGUCAGCUACCAAGUUUUCGCAUUCCUUUUUAUCCCGGAUUUCAAAAUCGAACUCUUGUAGAAGCAAAAUCCACCUAAUCAGUCGAGGUUUUGCUUCCUUCUUCCCUAUUAAAUAUUUCAAUGCUGCAUGAUCAGAAAAGAUAAUCACUUUAGUUCCCAACAGGUAAGAUCUAAAUUUAUCUAAAGCAAACACAACAGCUAAUAAUUCUUUCUCAGUGGUUGUGUAAUUGCUUUGGGCAGCAUCUAGGGUCUUCGAAGUAUAGUAGAUAACAUGAGGCUCUUUCCCUAUUCUUUGGCCAAGAACAGCUCCCACGCUUCGGUCACUUGCAUCACACAUGAUUUCGAACGGAAAGUUCCAAUUUGGUGGUUGCACUAUGGGAGCAGAGACUAAUUUCUGCUUCGGUACGUCAAAUGCGUCUUUACAAGUCUGGUCAAAUUUAAAUUCUUUAUCCUUUUGUAACAAACUGUAAAGCGGUUGAGCGAUUUUUUAGAAGUCUUUUAUGAAUCGUCUGUAAAAUCCUAUAUGGCCAAGAAACGAACGAAUAUCCCUUACAGAUGUGGGGUAAGGUAACGAGUUAAUAAUAUUCGUUUUUGCCUUAUCGACCUCAAUUCCUUCCGAGGAAACUAUAUGACCUAAAAUUAAUCAUUUGUCAACCAUGAAGUGACAUUUCUCAUAAUUUAAAACAAGAUUAAAUUCUAGGUAUUUUUGUAAUAUCUUAGCAAGAUUAUCAAGACAUCCGUUAAAAGAGUUCCCGUAUACCGUGAAGUCAUCCAUGAAGACUUCAAUGAUUUUCUCGACAUAGUCAGAGAAUAUGCUCACCAUGCAUCUCUGAAAAGUGGCCGGAGCAUUACAGAGUCCAAACGGUGUUCGUCUAUACGCAAACGUUUCGAAAGGGCAUGUGAAAGUUGUUUUGUCUUGAUCCUCAGGUGCCACCGAAAUUUGGAAAAAUCCCGAGUACCCAUCGAGACAACAAUAAUGAGUCUUACCAGCUAAUCGCUCGAGCACUUGAUCGAUGAAGGAAAGUGGAAAAUAGUCUUUUCGGGUAGCUGCAUUCAAAUUCCUGUAAUCGAUGCAAACCCUCCAUCCAUUCUGGACUCGGGUAGGGACCAACUCUCCUGACAAGUUUUUCAUCACUGUCACACCAGUUUUCUUGGGCACGACAUGAACCGGGCUAACCCAAUCACUAUCAGAAAUUGGGUAUAUCAUUCCAGCAUCCAAUAGUUUCUAGAUUUCCUUCUUUACUACCUCCAUCAUGGGUGGAUUAAGGCGCCUCUGAGCAUCUCUCUUUGGUUUCGUGAUAUCUUCAAUGGAAAUUCUGUGCAUACCAGUGAAUGGACUUAGCCCUUUUAUAUCGACUAUUGUCCAACCAAUAGCUUCUUUAUAAUCCCUUAGAACUCGAACUAGAUUUUCUUCCUCGUUUUUGGUUAGUUUGUUUGACACUAUUACAGGUAAAGUGUCUUUUUCUCCUAAGAAGACGUACUUAAGGUGGUCCGGUAAUGCUUUAAGCUCCAAGGUUGGUGGUUGCAAAAUCGAAGGCAACUUUUUAGUUUGGGAAGGUAAUAAUUCAAAUUGGUUACCUUGUUUCGUCAAUGAUGGUUGCGUCUCCAAGUGUUUUACAAUUUCUCGCAACGGAUCUUUUAUAAUUGCUAAUUCCUUAAGAUGAUUUAAAACAUCCAUGUCAAUGCUUCUGUAAAUGACAGUUUCUAACUCAUCAAAGUCAUGAUAUUCUGAAUAAGUUUGAGUUAAACAGUCUAUAACAUCAAUGCUAAAAAUAUUUGAUAGUGAGUUAGAAUGUCCCAUAGCUUCAUAGACAUUGAAUUUCAUGAUUUUGCCAUCAAACUCCAUUGUCAGUGUUCCGCUCCGCACGUCAAUUUUUGCGCUUGCGGUACUUAGGAACGACCUUCCAAAUAAAAUGUCAGACGAAUUAGUUGAGUUAUUGUCCUCUAUAUUAAUAAUGUAGAAAUCUGCAGGGAAAACUAAUUCAUUAACUUUAACAAUGACGUCUUCAAGCAACCCUUCGGGAUAUACGACUGACCUGUCCGCCAACUGGAUUAUUACUCCUGUCUUUUUUAAAGGACCCGCGUUAAUCAACUUAUAAAUAGGAUAAAGCAUAACACUAAUGGAAGCCCCUAAAUCACACAUGGCUUUUUUAAUGCCUACAUUACCUAUCUCACAGGAAAUGACAAACAUACAUUGGUCCUUGUAUUUGGGCGGAACUUUCUUUUGCAGUACUGCGGAGACAUUUUCUCCUACAUUUACUCUUUCGUUUCCUAUUAACCUCUUCUUGCUAGUACACAAUUUCUUGAGAAAUUUUGCAUAACGAGGGAUUUGUUUGGUAGCGUCGAGUAAAGGGAUAUUUACCUCCACCUUCUUAAAUAUUUCGAGGAUUUCUUUUUCCUCCUUCUCUUUCUUAUCCUUCACGAGCCUCCCUAGAAAAGGAGGUGGCAUCAUGACUGGUUUCUGAAUUUCUAAUUUCGGUCUGGCUUUUCGAUCAGAGAUCUGCUUUUCCCAUUCCUUGUCUUGCCCAUGACUUUUUUCUGGAACUGUUUCUAGAGCCAUUUCGCUACAAAGAGUUAUUGCACUUGCAUUCUGUCGAGGAUUCGGCUCUGUCUGGGAAGGUAAUUUACCUUGAGAUUCCAAACGGUUAACUGUCAUCGAGAGUUUACUAACUUGAUUAGUUAACUCUUGUAUUGAUGCGUCUGUCCUCUGUUGAUAUUUUGCAGCAUCGACGGCAAGUCUUUCCAUAGCAGCUUCUAAAGAUGUUUCGGUUUGGGUUGUUGUGGCGGUGGCGGAAGUCUUGGUUGGUAUGAUGAAUUGUACUGGUGAUUAGUUUCGUAAUUCAAGUUGGGAUGAUCUUUCCACCCGGGAUUGUAGGUGUUGGAGAAAGGAUCAUAGCGUCUUUGCGGAGGUCCUGGAAAGCCUCUGAUAGCAUCAACAUGUGCCGUUGAAUUGUCGUUAAGGAUUGGGAACAGAUUCAUCGGAUGUUCAGACGUAGUACAAAUUCCACAUAAUUGGGUCCGAUUCUUCUUUUCUGUAAGCAUAGAUUGAACAAUAUUAGUAAGCUUAUCCAAUUUAUCUUCGAAGGAUGAAAUGUUUACCCCAUUAACGCAUCUUGUGGGUUCUGAGGAGUCAUAUUGGAUAUUAGUUCUCUUGCUCGCUGAGGAGUCAUAUUGACAAGCGCUCCUCCACUAGCAGCGUCAAUCAUCUUUAUUUCCAUAGGGAGCAAACCAUCGUAGAAAUACUGAAGAAGUGAUUGUUAGGUCAAACUGUGUUGAGGACAACUUGCGCACAGUUUUUUUGUAUCGCUCCCAAUAGUCAUAGAGCGAUUCACUCUCUAAUUGGUGAAUUCCCACUAUGUCUCUCCUAAGUUCAGCUGCUCGCGAUACUGGAAAGAAUCUGUCAAGAAAUACACGAGAUAAGUCAUCCCAUGUUGUAAUAGAAACGGGGGUAAGUAAAAUAACCAUUCUCUUGCUGUAUCAAUUAAAGAAAAAGAAAAGGCUCAAAGUUUAAUUUCAUCUUCGGUUACUCCCUGAGGUUUCAUGCUUGAGCAGACCAUGUGGAAUUCUCUCAAGUGAGUGUGUGGAUUUUCGUUCUUCAAGCCUCGAAAAGUGGGCAAAAGGUGAAUUAGGCCUGACUUCAACUCGUACGGGGUUUUUCUGGUUGGAUAGUUGAUGCAUAACUGUGUUUGCUCGUUGGGAGCAGCGACUAGUUGACGAAUGGUUCGGUUUGCCAUCCUUUCUGGUUCACUGAGGUUGUCUUUUGCUUCUUUCGUUUUAGAAAGUAGUUCGGUCUCAGGUUCAACCAUUUCGACUUGUUUCCCACGUCGAAUUGCCUCUGCACGAAUUACUUGGCUAAACUUUUCGACGUCGGAUUCUAGGAUCCUUUGUCCUAGCUCAACUUCUACUUUACUUGCACGUUUAAGAGCUUCUGUCUCUUUUCGUCGUGCUCGUACUGAUUUCUCAAUCUCUGGGUCGUAUUCGAGAUCUCCGGAUGAAGAUCUGGUUAUGAAGACGAUUUAAACAAUUGUAAGUGUUGCCAAUCCCCGGUAACGGUGCCAAAACUGAUGGGUGCCGAUUCCACCAAUAUAAUUCUACGCCUAAUUUGCAAAUUUAAGCAAUAUAGGGAGUAGGGUCGAUCCCUCAGAGACUGGGUUUACUACAAAUUGUUGCUCUCUUGACCAGAUUUAUGUCGGGGCAGUUUUCGUGCCUAAGAUGUUCGGGGGGAUAAAAUUUGAAACCUGAAAUAAAUAAAUAAAAUGCAUAAAAAGUAAAAGCUGAAGACAAAAUAAUAAAAACAGUUAAAUAAAUCUGAAGGGAAAUUAAUUAAACUUAGCCCAGCUUCAGGCACUGGUUUUUCCUCGUCUUUGAAACGAUCCUCGAAAUUAGAUGAACUCAUCUUUUCCAAUAAGCUAGUUAUAGCUACCAAGGAUGUCUCGGACACCAACUCUUCCUUGUGUAAAUUAGUUAUGGAACGUCCAAUAACUAACCCUUACCGAUCGAACAACCAAGAAACGUUCGUGAUUUAGAGCUCCGACAGCUUUGCGUUCUAGAAGAGCCUAGCUUGAACCAAUGCCCUCAAUAGUGUGGGACAUUUAAAUCCGAUUAUUACUUCCCUUAACGAAACCAAACAGCAAUCCCCACUUGGCACGCUAUUGUGUUUACAGAAAAUCGAUUAGACAAUCGAUCCUUUCAGAAUUCUAAUUGUACGUCUAACCACACUAACUCAAACGACAUCUUUUUUAACUUAGUGUUGGUUUGACUUUGUGAGUUGACAAAAUCAUACUCUUAAUCCGGAGAAAUAAUAAGUACUAGAAUUUAGGAGUUAAAUUGCUCGUGCUCGUAACUCACGGUCUUGAUGAGGCUAACUCCGACCUAAAGCUGAAAUAGAUUUAGUUGACUAAGGUUUGAGGCAUGUUGGUAUUGAGCAUAAUUGGAGAAGGUUGAAUAAAAGAAAAAGAAAUGAAAGUAGGUGGGUGUGGGUGACGCAAGGUUUGAUGCAGUAUUUCCACAGUUGAAAAUAAAUGGAAAAAUAUGAGGAACUUAUGACAGAAAAUAAAUUUGUAAGGAAAGAAAUAUAUUAUUUAAGAGAUGAAAAAGGCUUGAUUGAAAACUUGAUGAAUGAAUGAACAUAGUAGCCCCUAUUUAUACUAAUGGCUUUGCCAAAUUAAGAGCCACUAACCAUAGAAAAUCAAGGAAAUAAAAUAUUCCAUGAUACAAAAAAAAUCCCUACAUAAUCUCCCACUAAGUCAAUAUAGAAUUUCAGCUAAUUACAUCUUGGAAAAAUUCUUCUUUGGCCCGCAUUCUUUGCUCCUUACUUCAAUCUAGCCCAAUUGUUUCCUUUUUUUUCUAUUUAGCCCCAAAUUGCACCCCUGCACAAAAUUCAAUAUAAACAUGGAAAAAUCAGUGGUGCACUCUCAUAAAUUAACAAAUUCAAUUACAUGACAUACAUAUUUUAGCAUUUAAUCAGGGUUGGUGGCUAGAGGAUCUUCUAGCGCCUUGACUAGUAGUUUUAAAGUGGGAAGAAGGAAGCUUGCAUAUUGCAAAUGAGCUCUAGCAGGAAUGGACGCAGAAGGAAAGGUUUGUGUAGAGUUCAAGCAAGUAGAAAUACUUGAGACAUGUGAAAUGAAGGUGUUAAGUGAAGCGGAAAAGUUAACUUGGUUAGUUGGGUUAUUGGUCUGGUUGGUUUGAUCAGUUGGGGUGUCACUUUGAGAUUAAGAAGCCAUGUUGUCCAUACUAACCACACUAAUUGUUGAUACAAUGUACAACAAGAGAAAAGUAUGAUGGGGAGAAGGGUGGUUGCUAUGGAGGCUGGUUCACCCAAUCGGGGUGGAGAGCUAGAGGUUAUUGAUAGCAGCGGAAAAGAGAACGUAAAGGUUGAGGCUUCAAAGAGUGUUGGCAUAAUGUAGGCUUAAUAUUCUUGAAGGGUCAACAAAAUCCUUCUUUAUCGUUCCUGAUGUUAACAUAUUGGACUUGGCAUCUAGCCAUCAUUACGGGGCGCGUGGGAGGGAUGUUUUAGAUGAGAUGAAGAUGUUUGUGACAAGAAAACUUUUGUCUUUCAUUUUGACUUGAUGGGAUAAAACAAUUGAGCUCAUGUGAUAUUUAAUGAGCAACAACUUUAUGUUCCCAAUGAAGAAUAGAUCACCCAUUGCCUAGGUGGUCACUCUGGAAAGGUGAGUACGCAGGUGGCCUCUAAGCUUACUAGUGGCAGGCUUACAACUUAGGUGCCUUUUCGGCUUAUCAUGUGUGUUUUGAUACGAAUGUGGUAUAACAAUGAUCAAAAUUAAAUUCAUUAUAAUUAUUCAGAAUUAGAUGCUAAUUUUAAAUUAAAAUGUACGAAUUGACAUGUUGAUUAAUUAUUUUAAAUUUAUUAUUUAAAAUGUUUAAAAAAUAUUUUAUCUCAUGGGUCGGUCACAUAUCUUUAUUUAAUCACAUGUAAAGAUAUGAGCUAACUUUUUUAAAUGCAUUUAAAAAUAUAUAAAAGUAUUUUUCUAAUGAAUCUUAAAUCGAAAUUAGAGUCAACAUGCACAUAAACCAUUUAAAAACAUUAUUUAAAAUUAAAAAUAAAUAAUAUUUAAACAAAUUUCCAUUCUACUCGCUCGAUUGUGAAUUAUAAAUUGAUUUAAGAAUCAAUAUAAAGACUAAUCACUUUAAAUAUAAAAAGUAAUAAUAGAAUUUUCUCCAAAUCCACUAUUGUAUAUUAUUUAAAUAUUUUUGGCUUGUUCACACUUUUUUAUUAAGUUGUAUUUCUGUUAUUUUUUUACUUAACUUGGUACUUUUAUUUGUUAAAAAUUAUAUAUUUUGGUAUCUAAAAAUAACAAUAUUAAUUUUUUAGUGUUUAAUUUGAGUUUCAAGGUUAAUUUGAUGAAAGUUAAUUUCUAAUAUUACUAGGUUUGAAUUUUUCAUGCUUUUGUUAAUAGAAUAUAUUUAGUGUUAAUUGUGAGUUUGUUUAAUUUUACAUUUAAUUUUUCAAAUACAGUCUGAUGUUUCAUCAAAUCAACUCUAAAACCUGAAUUAAAUACUAAAAAGUUAGCACCAUUACUUUUGGGUACCUAAUUGUAUAACUUUUGUCAAAUACUGGUACUAGAUUAGAUAAAAAAUAACACAAAUACAACAUUAAAAAAAUUAUCAAACUCAUAUACCAAUGAUGCAAUCGUAAACCAACUAAAAAUAUGAUCAAGGCAAGUGCACCUAUAAAUUAAUAGUAUAGUUACGAUGAGUAAAGAUGUCGUUCAUGCAAAAACUAAAAAUCGCCUUUCUAUUGUUUAACCGAAUAAUUAGAGUGAUUGAUUAAAAACUAAAAUUAAUUAAUUAAAUUAACUAAAGAACUCAAUAAAGAACAAAUCAGGAAAAUAAGCGGUUAACAACCAAAAAGCAAAACAAUACACAGGAAAGAAUUCACCUAAAUUUCAUCUGCUACCAUCAAUCUAAAUUACUCAAUUUCUUCACUUAGUAUAUUGAUCCGUAGAAAUCCCUAAAUUAUACUAAUAUCUCUCUUAAAGAAUAAAAGCAACUGACUAGGUUGAUUAAUUGAAAUUUCAUUCAAAUUAAAACCUUUAUUGUUGCAUUAACUCGAUCUAUGAUUCCCUAUUAGAUUUGACUCUAAUAUGGUAGAUUUAUGUCGUCAUAUUUCUAGGAUUGUAUGCAAUUCCACUCAAUUACACUAGAUCUACUCUUAAAUAGGGUCUAUUCCUCCUCUGAUUUAAGCACAUCAAAUAUGGAUCAAUAGUCUAGAAAUAUUUAAUUAAGAAUUAAGCACACGUAAUUGAGAACAAAAUCUAAGUCUUUAUUGCGUAAAAUAAAAAUCAAACGACAGAAUCUAUCAUAGGGUUCAUCUCCCUAGGUAAAACAUCCAAAAUACAGUAUAACCAUAAGAAAUAAAGAAACUCAUAAUAAUCUCUAAAGAAAUCAAAAGGGAAUCUUCAAUAUUGAUAGAAAUCUGCUUCAAAAUAAGCUUCAAUGAUGUUUUUCGAGUUAUUUUCUUGAAUAUUCUAUGACGACUCACUUCUAUUUUCUUAUUUUUGUCAUAUAUAGGUAUCAAAAUGUCCGAAAAAUCCUAAAAAUUACGUUUUUCUGCUGUUCAGAGUGCAAUUCGUGAAAUCGACAUGGCCUGCCACAUGGUUGUGUGACAGCCUAUGUGGCUCACACGGCCGUGUGUCUAGGCUGUGUGGAAUGGUCCAGCCUGUGUGGCCCUAUACCUUGUUCUGAUUUUUCGAUUUUCGCUCCUUUUACUCCUAAAUGCUCUUCUAAGUAUAAAAACAUGAAGUUAAAGGAUUAGAAGCAUAAAAUUCACCAUUAACAUCAAAUAAUCACCUAAAAACGCGUUAAGAAUGAGAUUAAAGCAUGUUACUUUUAACACUUAUCAACCAAUUAUAUAUUAAGUCGAUAUUUUUUUAUAUUUUAAUAUUUUCAGUAAACAAAGUAGGAUAAAUUUAUAUAAAAUCCUUAAAAUAGUUAAACCUAACACAAAAUGAGACAUAACCAAUAUAUAAAUAUAUAUAUAUAUAUAUAUAUAUGUAAAAGAAACAUGUGAAAACUAAAUUAUUAAUACAAAAGAAAUUGUAUAACAUAAAAAUGCUAAAUUGAAAAUAUAACUUCUUUUUCUUAAUCCUUUUACUUUUUCAUUGUCAUUGCUUCACAUUCGGCUGAAAUAGAAAGAAAAAAAGGACAGGUUGUAGAUACAACAACAAAUAUCUACAGUGUUAGGAUGUAUAAAGAAACGAAUAGAUGCCAGUAAGUGACAAAGAAAGGCAUAAAUCAUGGAGUAUGAAAUAGAAAGUAAAGGAGGGACAGCUUAAUUUCAUGCCUCGUAAUCAGUUAAAAACAAAAGCUUAGUGUGAAUGUGAGGAUUUGGUCUGAUUACACUAAAUUACUUGGUGGCCAACAGCUUUGCAGUAAUCAAUACAUUUCAGUUCUUUCUGUGGUUUGAAUUUUCCAACUUAGCUCAAACUUCCAAAAGCAUAAGCAGUCUUCCCAUGAAAAUAACACUAGAGAAAAAAACCCAACAAAACAACGCGUAUUAUUAUUAUUAGUACUGAUUGUAGAAAAGUCUACAACAAAACCAAAAUAAUAAACAAAGAACACGCUUCUCCUCUGCCCCCUCCCCUGCUGCUUUUUCCUCUUCUUUCUGCUAUUUUCUUUGCCAAAUAGUUCAUGCUUGUGGACCUGCACACUCAUCAACCUAACCCCAUGGUGAUAUCUUCUUCAUAAUUCUUAGUUCUAUGGAUAUGUUACUAAUGAGGAUUUCAGUCCUUUUUUGGCUUUUAUUGUAUUCCUUUGUAGCAGUUUUGGUUUCUGGUGAAUGUCAAAGCCAUCAGCAAGAGUUGCUGCUCGGAUUGGGUAAAACCCUCAAUUCUUCGUUGUCUGCAAAGAUGCGGAACUGGAACCAAAGCACGGAUUGCUGUUCUUGGGGUGGUAUAACCUGCGAUCAAAGUGGUCGGGUUAUCAUACUCGACUUGAGCAACCAAUUAAUUUCCGGAACAAUUGAUAAUUCGAGUAGUCUUUUCAAUCUUCAGCAUCUUCAGCAGCUUAAUUUGGCUUAUAACACACUCAGCUUCAGUUUUCCUUGUGGGUUUGACAAGUUGUCAAAUUUGAGCUAUCUUAAUUUGUCAAAUGCUGGCUUUACAGGGCAAGUUCCGGCUGAGAUUUCAAGCUUGACAAACUUGAUUACUCUAGAUUUAUCUGUAAAUUUAUUUCUUAGAGAUGGACGACCCUUGAAACUUGAGAAGCCAAACCUGAAGNNNNNNNNNNNNNNNNNNNNNNNNNNNNNNNNNNNNNNNNNNNNNNNNNNNNNNNNNNNNNNNNNNNNNNNNNNNNNNNNNNNNNNNNNNNNNNNNNNNNCUUGUUGAAAAUCUCACAAGGCUAAGAUCUCUCCAUCUUGAUGGGGUCAAAAUUUCAGCAAGAGGAAAUGAGUGGUGUAAAUGGUUAUCCUCACUGACCAAUUUGGAAGAGUUGAGCAUGUCCAACUGCAACCUUUCUGGACCAAUUGAAGAUUCCCUUCAAAAGUUGAAGAAUCUCUCAAUUAUUCACUUGUCUGGGAACAAUUUAUCUGCUGUGGUUCCAGCAUUCCUUGCUCAUCUUCCAAAUUUGACUUCAUUGCGGCUCAGUUCUUGCGGCUUGCAUGGACAAUUUCCAAGAGAGAUACUCCAGGUAAGGAUGCUACAGUCUCUUGAUGUACUUGACAAUGAGAAACUUCAAGGUUCUUUGCCUGAAUUCCAUCAUAAUGGGUCUCUUCAGAACCUAGUUCUUAGCGGAACAAACUUUUCUCGGUCAUUACCACAGUCCAUAGACAAGCUUGUGAACUUGACUAGACUAGACCUUUCGUCUUGCAAUUUCAGCGGAGCAAUUCCGAGUUCAGUCUCCAACCUGCAACAACUUGUUUACUUGGACUUGUCUUCCAAUAACUUUACCGGUCAAAUCCCAUGUUUUGAUUUGUCCAAAAAUCUUGCCCAUGUAGAUCUCUCUUACAAUAAACUGAGUGGCAAGAUCGAGUCAUUUAAGUGGGAAGACCUUCCAAACCUUACUCAUAUUGAUUUAAGGCACAAUUCACUUAAUGGGAAUAUUCCUUCCUCUCUUCUGGCACUCCCUUCACCGAAAAGAGUUCUGCUUUCCAACAAUCAAUUUGAUGGUGAAGUUACUGGUGUUCCAAAAGUGAGAGAAUCCUUAUUGGAUACUCUUGAUCUCAGUUACAACCAAUUGCAAGGGCCGAUACCCGCGUAUGUUUUUGAACUCAGUAGACUUAGCGUUCUGGUGCUUUCUUCCAACAAUUUCAAUGGCACCAUACGGCCAAGAGACAUUCGGAAGCUUGUGAAUCUCACAUAUCUUGACCUUUCACACAACAACCUGUCUGUCAUUGCAACUGAGAGUUAUUCGGUCUUGUCAUCUUUUCCCAAGAUUACUACACUAAAGCUGGCGUCCUGCAAAUUGAAUGUGUUCCCUGAUCUAAAGAACCAAUCAAGAUUAACCUAUCUGGAUCUUUCACAAAACCAAAUUUCAGGUGAAGUACCCAAUUGGAUUUGGAGUGUCAGUGAUGACCUCCGGCAUCUGAACUUUUCAUUUAAUCAGCUUGAGGGUCUGCAGAAACCUUAUCAAAUAGUGCCCAAUCUUUCAGUCCUUGACCUUCGUUUUAACAGACUCACUGGUCAUAUCCCAACUCUGCCUCUAUCUGCAAGCUAUCUGGAUUUUUCAAGCAAUAAUUUUACUUCUUCUUUACCAAGUAACAUUGGUAACUACCUCUCCUACACUAUUUUCUUUUCUGUCUCAAGCAAUGGCCUUACAGGUUUUAUUCCUAAGUCAAUAUGUGAUGCUGGUUACCUGCAAGUUCUUGACUUGUCCAAGAACAGUCUGAGAGGUGCAAUACCAAAAUGUUUAAUUGGAAAGAUGGAUUCUCUUGGGGUACUGAACCUUAGGGGCAACCAUCUCAGUGGUGAAAUCCCUGAUGCAUUUCCAAGUAAGUGUUCCAUAGAAACACUAGAUGUCAAUGGGAAUGAGCUCAGAGGGAAGAUCCCAAAAUCCCUUGCAAACUGCAACAGGCUAGAGGUAUUAAACCUUGGUAACAAUCACAUAAACGACACCUACCCUUGCCAUUUGAAGAAAAUAACCAGUUUGAGGAUUCUUGUUUUACGAUCAAAUAAAUUCCAUGGGGGAAUUGGUUGUCCAGCCGACAAGCGCCUCUGGCCAAAGCUUCAAUUUGUGGACUUUGCCCACAAUAGUUUUAAUGGAAAAUUACCAAACAAAUUCGUUGCAAGAUGGAAGGCAAUGGAGGUUUAUGACGAUGAAGCUCAACUAAAUGUUAAACACCUUCGGUUUGAAGUUCUACGACUCACUGGAAUUUAUUAUCUAGACGGUAUUACAGUUACCAACAAAGGUCUACAGAUGGAGCUGGUGAAAAUCCUAACUAUUUUCACCUCCAUUGACCUUUCAUGCAACAACUUCGAGGGGCCAAUACCAGAUGUGAUCGGAAAAUUCAAAGCACUGUAUGUUCUCAACCUGUCACACAAUGCUCUCAGUGGAAAAAUCCCACCAUCUCUAGGGAACUUGCAACAGCUGGAGUCCCUGGACCUUUCGUGUAAUAACCUGAGUGACAGUAUUCCUCAACAGCUUUUAAAGCUAACUUUCCUUGCAUUCCUUAACCUCUCCUACAAUCAACUGGAGGGACGCAUACCAGAUGGAAAGCAGUUUGCAACAUUUACUAAUGAUUCUU
rnacentral:lncRNA from 1 species